AGAUAGUCUUGUGAGACAGCUUCAAGGAACAAAAAUUGAAAAAGGACCUGAGGUUGCUUCCAAAGAAAAAGAGAUAAUAGAAGUAACAGACAAACCAAACGCCAGAAAAAGCUCAACGAAACACCAUAAAAAGAAGAAAGCAAAUGAUGGGAAAAAUGUUACAAUAUCAGAGAAAGGGGAGGGGUUCAGCAACAAGCAACAGGAAGAUACUGAUGCGAAAAUGAUGGAGGAGGAGGAAGAAAUGAGAGAUGAAGUUAAUAUGAAGCAAGAAGAGAAGCAUUUACCAGUGAAAAGGGAGACCAAAGAAAGAAGAGACGAAGCCAAUCAAAGUAGUGUUGCCACGAAGGCCAAUAAAGAAGCUGAGAUGGACAAAACUCUGGCUGGGAAAAAAGAUGCAAGAAAUGGCAAGGAUGUUGGGCAAGCUGCAAACUCGACCAAGGAUCCUAAAGUAGCAACCAAUGGAAAGCAUGUUGUAAAAGAUGCUUCUCGUCAAUUAGAAGGCAAGGAUAACCUGGUGGCUGCGGAGGCGGUUCAAGGGAAGGCACCCGAUGUCCAUGGGAACUUUCCUUCUGGAAGAAUAGGGACGACUGAUCAAAAGAAAAAUGCUAAUGCCAGUGGUGUAAAUCAGGUUUUUGUAAGAGCAGGGAUUCCGGAGGCCAAACACGCCAAGGUCAGUUCUAAGUUUAGUUUUGCUACCUUAGAUUGCUUUCCAGUAAUUUUUGGAGAUUCUCUGAGAGGGUUGUCUUUUAAUAUUUUGUAGUUCUCUUGGUUCUUUGAAGUUUCUCUGGAAGAAUUGAUUAAUCUGUUUGAAAGCAUGUUUAGGUUAAUCUGGCUGGAGUCAUCUCAUUUGCUUGUCGUUAAAUUUCAUUGAUCAGAUAUUGGGAAUUGUUCAGACAUGUGGUUGCUUUAAUUUGUUCAUGAAAGAAAAAAUCGUUAUCUUAGCAAGAAAUGCUGCUACUCAUGAAGAAAUCAGACCGAACCUUGUAAAGGAAAAGAAAAAGAGACUCCAGUUACAUAAACUAGCAAUUAUUUAAAAUGCUUAAGUCUUAGUUACCAGUUACAUGGUCUUCCUCCAAAUGCUUUGUGUGAUGAAAUGUAAAGCACACUGAAGAACUAAAAAGUUCCGAGGGUUCCUAAUCCUCCAAAAGAAAAUUAAUAGUGUUCAACAGUGUGGAAUCUGUAUGAACUAAGCAAGUCCAAGGCAUCAACAAAUGGUCAAAUGAGUCUUGCACUGGUUUUCUGCUAAUUAAGUAAUAAGGGACGUACUUUUCUUUCCUUAAAAGGAACCAUAAAAAAAAUAGGCUUGGGGCUUGUUUCUCUCUCUGUCCUCAUACUGGUGGUAGGUUGUUCACGUUCACCUUGUCUUUUUCUGUGAGUACACAUUGGUUUUCUUUGUGGAGAGGAUAUAACUUCUACUUCAUUUUUAAGUGUUGGCCAAUCAAGAACUCACACAUCCAAUAGAUGAAUGUUGCGGAGACAAGAAAGCUUCGAUGGAUGUGCGGGGUUUACUAGAAACAACCUUUCUAUCUCACCUCUGGGGAAGUGGUAUGGACUGCGUACACUUACCCUCCCCAACCCCACUUUAUGCGAAUAUACAGGGUAUGUUGUCGUCGUCGUCGUUGUUGUUCAUUUCUUCCAUUAGUUUGGCUUUUUCCUUCCCAUAGUUAUUAGUGCUUCCCUAGUCUAAUUUGGUCAUGGGAUGCUCCACUACAACUCAAGAGAGAACCCAUUUUGCUUUGGUUAUGGUGGGUUCAUAUAACCAGCACUCGUCAAAGUGUGCACAAGCUGUCCAGAUGUCGAAAUGUUCUUUCAGUUUUUGGAUGCAUGCCAGGUUGUCUCCUAGUACAGUGAGAGUAAAAGUAGAUCCUGAAUUUUCAAUCUUCUUUUUGGAAUAGUUUAUGAUUUUUUUUCUGGAUCUAGAAAGUGGAAGUAAGAGUGUUGAAGAAGGGACUGCGUGACAAAUGCAAUACUACUACUGUCUGUUAGCUGUCUAGAACUUGCAAAGAUACUCGGGUUCUAGCUAAUCGAUACCAAUGUAUCUUUAUUUUGCGAGCCUCAAAAUCUGUUGUUCAUUUUGAAUUUUUUUAUGCAAAGGCCACUAUUCUAUAAACUCUAUGUGCUAUCUGAUGUAUGAAGAAAAGAUGACAACUUUUGUAGCCUUCCCAAAGGCAAACAUAAUUCGAAGUGUUUGUCCUUGUGGAUUAUUAGGAGAAGAAUAUUACAGAACUAGUAAAGCAGUACCUGUGUGUGAGCUUGAUUGUGCUUUGUUAAACAAAUAGGCAUCUUUUGGAAGAGAGAGACUAAUGGGCCAAGUGGGGAUUGGGUGUUCCAAGAGCAUCUAACGAAGUUCCACACCUGUGCCUUGUAUACAUGAAACCAAUCAUGAUGUGAAGUAGCAUCAAGCAGAGCCGUUAAAACGACGACUGUUCAUGUACACAUCUUUUUGACUGAAUGAAGUAUAAUUAAUGUUAUUCAACCAUUCUUCAAUUUCGAAUUGUUGGGCUGUGUCUCCCCCUUCUAUACUCUAUUUAGGUAGGUCCAUAUGAUAUUUUAAUACUACUUGUGAGUUGUGUUUACGAAUAAUAUAUGGCUAUUUGAAGUCUACCUGUAAUGUGGUUAUCACUAGCGGAUUCAGGCACAACUGAUGACUCGAUACCAAUCCCUGCUACUGUUGAUGUUUUUAGCAUGUCUUAUUCCUGCAAAUUUUGAUACUACCUAUGUAAGAUAGCAAGGUUAGUUUCUCUGUUCUCUUAAAGAGGCUGUCAAAUCCUAUAGUUAUGUGCCUAUAGCUCUAUCAGUGGUGGAAGGCAUCAGGUAAGGUGCAUAGACACUGUGUUCUCCAUGCUUGCUUAUUUAUAUCUGGUUCUUUGGUACUAGCUGCUUGUAAUAUUAAUUGAUUUUAUUCCCUGUAUUCCCAAGUUCUAGUACUCGUGUUUUUGUUUUUACUCCUCCCUGACAAAGAGUAUUUGAAGCCGUAAAGAUUCAUUUUUUCUUGAUUGAUGAUAUUGCUAGGAGUUCUUCAGUGAGGAGAAGAUAUGGGAGAAGAUAAAUGCAAUGAGAACAAUCGUGGGAUACUCGGCAGCACCACAACCUUUUUUGGUAGAUGAACUUAAGGCACUAUACAUCUUUACUGGAGUCGAGCCGUCAUCUACAUUUUGUAACCCGUCCACUUUGGAAGAAGUGAGCGACAAGCUUCAGUUUCUUAUGUCGAUUGUGGGAAUAAAGUGAAUCUAGUUCUUUGUUUGGACUGUAUUUUCUUAUCAUCUCCUUUUGCAUUUGUUAGUUUGUCAAAUUUUACCUUUAUACUGGAUUAGUGUAUGAUUAUGCUAGAAAUUGCACUUUGUUGUAAAAUCGUAUCUUGAAUGUUCUACAUUGAGUUCUUGAGUUCUUGCUCCGUUUAUGAAAAAAUUCUCCUAUGCUUGGACGUCCUGUAUCUUGGCGUCGGUUCUGGAACAGGAACUGUUGUCCUUGUUAAUUUUUUGAAAACUCAUUGUUAUGCAGUUCCUGAAGUCUGAAUUUGAUCUUAAAGUCCCUUUUAUCGUCAACUUUGGGCUGCUAUUAGAUGUGCCCCGAGUUUUGAUUCCUCGUUUUGGCAUGUCAACUAGGGAUGGCAAUGGGGCGGGGUGGGUUUUAAGCUAUGCGGUUGCUGGGUGGGUUAAAUUAAGUUUUUUUUUUUUUUUAAAUGAUGCGGGUUUAAAUUAAAAAAGUUAAAAAUUAGUAUUAUUUUCGUAAAUAUAUCUAAAAUUGUAUUCUUUAUUUAAAUUUUUAUGAUACUUAACACGAUGUGUAUAAGACUAUAAAUAAAUAAUUUUAUAGUUUUUUUAAUAUCUCUAUUCAUUUUAAUAAAAAUAUGAUAUUCGAUCAUUACUUGUAUAUGUGAUACUUUUUGAGAAUUUUUUAGUGAAAAGUGAUAUAAUAGAAAUUAAUUAUUAUUUUUGAGAAUCUCUUAGUGAAAAGUGAUAUAAUUGAAAUUAAUUAUUAUUUUCUAGCUAUAGAUUUGAAAAUAUUAUGAUUUUUAAUAGAGUUACAAAUUUUUUUAAAAAAAUAAAAAUAAAAACAAAAAUAUGGGGUGGUGCGGUGAGUGUGGGUGCGGGUUUAUGCAGGUUUAAAGGUGAUGCGGUGCGAUUUUAAAACUUGUGGGUUUAGAAAAAAUUCGCACCGCAACCGCACCACACCAUUGCCAUCCCUAAAUUCUCAAUCUUUUUAAUAGAAAAUUGGAGCUUGUUAGUGUGUAAUGCGAAAAGAAACUGAUUUCGGUAUGUGGAAGUAUCGCGAGUAUCUUGUGUGAAUUGAUGCCUGUAAAAUUUCAGCUCAGUAGUGUCUCCUACAACAGAGUUGGUGAGCAAGUAACAAAGUAACCAGAUAAUGAAAAGAGCACAAAGUAAAGAUACAAUUUAUAUUGAUUCGAAACACCUGUGUGGCCUGUUUCCAGUUUUCUUGGAUUACAAGAUUUUCUUUAUAACAAUUUGAAUGGCAACUCAGUAUAACGAGGGUAUGUUUUUCUCAUGAACUGAAACAACUUCGGUUCUCCUUAUGGUCAUAGUCUCUAUUUUUAAAGUUAUCUAACUUCUUUUUUUCCCUACUCAUAAUUAGAAUGGUUUCUCAUAUUAUAGUGAGUUGCUAAGAGUUGAAGUACCUAGACUAUAGCUCAAGUGAAGAUGUAAAAAAAUAACUCAAAAGAAGAUCUAUAUAUAGUCUAGAAGAGAGGUCAAGCAUCAAAGGGGAAGGAUAUAUAGUCUGAAAGAGAGGUCAAGAAUCGUUCCUUUGAUUCUUGAUGAGUUGCUCCCUUUGAUUCUUGAUGAGUUGCUCUUUAAGGUAACCCAAGAAAUUGACAAUCACUUCUUAAAUUGAUUUGAGUGACUAAACUGAGAUCUUUGUAAAUUUUGGUGUCUGAUUUCUCUCACCGGAUAAAGAAAGUCUUUUAGCUGGAUGAAUAAUUGAAUUGAUAUAUGCUUCUUUCUUUUGAGAAUUAAAAAUCUUUCAACGAACCUUGAUUAAGGGAUCUUGGAAUAUUUUGAUUUUAGGAUCCCUGAUUUGAGUAAUUGUACUGAAAAUCUGUGAUAUUUGGCUUGAUAUUCUUGCUUAUACAGCUUUGACCACCUUGUGUAGAGUUAUUUUCUUGUAUUGCUUAGAAAGAUUUUGUCCUUAGAUUUUCCUUUCUUAUAUAGCUUUGAUAAUGUGUUUUCUUCUUGAGUUAUUUUCUUGUAUAGCUCUAAACCACCUGUCCUUGAUUCUCAUUCCUUUUAUAAUUUUGAUGUUGUGUUGUAUUCUUCUUGUUUUCCUGCAUUGAGAGAAUGUUUUAGAGUUAACAUUAAAAUAACCUUGAGCUAAAAAUCUCCUCCUUUUUUAUGAUGAUACAAAAAAAAAGGUACAAGUGUGACAAUUACUUUCCUGAUAUUGUGACGAUUCAUGCUCCCCUUGACUAGUUGCUUUCCUUUACUGUAGGAAGCGUAUGAAUUGCAAUUUUAAGACUUAAGAAAAAUGGCUUCAAAACUCGUACGCGAGUUAUAGUAGCACAAAUGUCUUCUUCUAAAAAAAAUAUAGCAAGUAACAAGUAAAUAGAUAAUGGAAGGAGCACAAAGUAAAGACAAUUUAUAUUUUUUCGGAACACCUUUGUGGUGCUUACUUUUUUUUUUUUUUUUUGAAUUACAAGAGUUUCCUUAGGACAACUUGAAUGAUAACAUAGUACAGUGAGGGUAUGUAAAUUUUUUUCAUGAGCUGAAAUAACUUUAGUUCUCGUUAUGAUCAUAACCUUUACUUUUAUAGUUAUCUAACUUCUUCUUUCUUUGUUAUCUCACUCAUUAGAAUGCUUUCUCAGACUACAAUGAGUUGUGAAGAAGAAAAGUAACUUGACUAUUAUUCAAGUGAAGAUGUAUGAAGAUAAUACAAAAAAGAAGGUGUAUAUAUAGUCUAGAAGAGAGGCCAUGAAUCGUUCCUUUGAUUCCCGAUGAGUUGCUCUUUAAGGUAACCCAAAGAAGUGACAAUCACUUCUUGAAUUGAUUUAAAUGACUAAAAUGUGAUCUUCAUAGAUCUUGGUGCUUGAUUUCUUGUCUCACAUGAUAAAGGAAGUCUUCUAGCUGGAUGAAUGAUUGAAUUGAUAUAUGUUCAUUCUUUUUUCAGUGACAUAUAAAUCUUUCAGCGGGCCUUGAUUUAAGGAUUUUAUAAUAUUUUGGUUUGAGGAUCCUUGAUUUAAGUGACUGUAUUGAGAAUCUAAGAUAUUUAUCUUGAUAUUCUUUCCUUAUACAACUUUGACCACCUUGGUUGAGUUAUUUCCCUGUAUAGCUCAGAACGAUUUUGUCCUUGAUUUUUCUUUCUUAUGUAGCUUUGAUGAUGUGUUGUUUUCUUCUUAAUUUUAUCGUGUUGAGUUAUUUCCUUGUAUAGCUCUGAACGAUCUUUGUCCUUGAUUCUUCUUCCCUGUAUAAUUUUGAUGAUGUGUUGUAUUCGUCUUGUUUUCCUACAUUGAGAGGACGUUUAGAGUCACCAUUAAUAUAACCUUGAGCUAAUAAUCUUUCCUUUUUGAUAAUGACACCAAAAGGAGUUAUAAGUAUGUGUUACAUCCCUGAUAUUUUGACUAUUCUUGCUCCCCUUGACUAGUUUCUUCCCUUUACUAAAUGAAAUGUAUGCAUUGUAAUUUUGAGACUUAAAAAAAGUGUCUUCAAAACUCACAAGUGAAUUAUAGUAGAAAGAACGUCGUUUUUUAAGAAAAUAGUAGAAAGUAACAACAUAAACGGAUAACAAAAAGAGCACAAAGUAUAGACAAUUUAUAUUGGUUUGGAACCUUUGUGGUGCCUACAUUCAGUUUUCUUGGAUUGCAAGAGUUUUUUUUGAACAAUUUGAAUGGUAACACAAUACAAUGAGGGUAUGGAUGUUUUUCUUAUGAACUGAAACAACUUCAGUUCUCCUUAGGGUCACAACCUUUAUUUUGAAUGUUAUCUACCUUCUACUUCUUUCUUUAUAUCCCACUCAUAAUUAGAAUGCUUUCUUAGAUUAAAGUGAGUUGCUAAGAACAAAGAUAGCUAGAUUAUUACCUAAGUGGAGAUAUAUAAAGAUAAUACAAAAAGAAGGUCUAUAUAUAGUCUAGAAGAGAGGUCAAAAAUAUUUCCUUUGAUUCUUGAUGAGUUGCUUUUUAAGUGUCAUUGCCCAAAAUCCAAGGGUCAUGAUGGCACUCAUCGCGUUAAUCAUUGACAAGUAAGCGUAUCUCCCAAACUGCUAUGAAAAGGAAAAUAAUCACCAAUACCUAAAGCAAGGCUUCUAGAAUGAAGCCAAACCACACAAAUAUGAUAAAAACGAAUAUACAUAACCAAAGAUAUCAUACCAAAGUCCUAAAAUCUGGUGUCAUAGUGUAAGAACUAACUAGUACAACUCGAUAUCAAAAACACAUAACGUAUCUAAAAUAGAAACAACUCUGUCUCUGAAUACAAAUAAAGAUAUAGUCUAAAUAAAAAAUGGCAGUAGUGUAACUAUCCUUCAGGUCAUUUUAUAUAUUUCUUCUUAUUUUUACCAUUAAAGCUUCUUCAUAGCUAUCCCAACUUAUUUAUGACUUGCUGAAACUGACAUUUCGAUUACCGGGCAGUUCGUUUGGAUUUAAGAGUAAAUUUCCUAUUUUGAAGUCUUCGCUGGUUCCAAAUGUCCACCAAGAAAAAAAUUAAGUCAAAUGACCUCGAAUGCAAAUUCUAACUGUUCCAGCAGUUCUGGAAUAUCAAUUUUAGACUAUGUGGACUCUUAGUUCAGAUCCCGAGGCACCCAAGUUCAUUUUGACCUAUUGGUCGGAAAGUUAAGAAAUUGAAAAUUAGGUGUGGAACCCACAUUUUAUUGAUACAACCUUGGAUGGAAAUUUUGACUGCACUAUUGAGUCCAACUAUUAAAUUUAUGUAGUUACAUAGUUCGUUUGCGUAUACGGGAUUUUUGAUGAAUCCCGAGGUCUUCACUUCCAAGUAUCCGCUUUAUUUGGUGCAUCGCGAUUGCGAUGGUUUGGGCCGCGAUUGUGACUCAUUUGAUAAGGUCAACAGUGCCGCGAUCAUGAGAUGAAGUGCCGCAAUUGCGACUCAUGUAUCUACAAGAUGUGGCAAUCACGAACAUCGAGUUGCGAUAACAAGACUCGAGCACCUGGUAUCGAUAUAAAUAGAACCUCUUUGCAUGAUUUAGCCUAUUCUUAAUUCAUUCCAAGAGAUCUAAAACGUUAAUUAGAGAUAUAGCUUAAAAUUGGAGCUUGUAGGUGAUUUGGGAUCUUGUCUAACACUUGUUUACGCAAUUAUCUUUCAAUUUGUGGUAAGAUUUCAACCUUUUAUGGUAGAAAUUUCCAUUUCUUGUUCAAAGUUCUCAAAAUCUCGAGGCCUUGAUUUUAGUUCCAAAUUAGCUAGGGAUUCACCCAUUUUGUAAGGUAAUGAUUCCUUGAGCAUGUGAGAAUGUUGGGUUGAUUUUAAAAACAUGAUUUUCUUCAAAUAGGACCCACAUGGGAUUUUGAUGUGAUUUUUGAACCUGAAGCACAACAGUGCAAUAUGGGUAUCAUUAUUCUUGUAUUGAUGAGUAGAAUGUGCUUUUGAUAGCUUGACAAUUGCCGAAGCUUAUAAAAAGGGGAAAAUGGUUAUUUAGAGGAUCUUAUGAGCUUUCUUUGGCGUCCAGGUAAGCUAGGUUUUAUCGCUUUUUAGAUUGAGCUACUUCAUAGCAUGCUUCUAAUAUUGUGUUAGAUUUGGGAUGAGUUAUAGGUGUCGGUGUUCUAAAUUAUAAUAUUUUGAUUAGUUGGACUGUUUAGGCCAUUUUGGUAAGCUAGGUUUUAUCGCUUUUUAGAUUGAGCUACUUCAUAGCAUGCUUCUGAUAUUAUGUUAGAUUUGGGAUGCUUUAUAGGCGUCGAUGUUCUAAAUAAUAAUAUUUUGAUUAGUUGGACUGUUUAGGCCAUUUUGGAUAUCGUUUUGGGCAUAAUUAGCCUAGUUAUUCCUAUUUUAGGUGAAAUUGACCUUGUAGGCUCUUGUUGGGGGGAAAUACCUUAGUUACUCCAUUAAUGAGGAAUUUUUCUUGGCACUUGAGUUUAGGAUGAAACUUACCCAAAUUGCCAAUACCUUAGGUGGAAUGGACUUAGUUGCUCUACAUUAGGAGAAAUCGCUAUCCUAGGGCUAGUUGUGGCUUGUUCAACAUCUAAUAGUGGAUUUAAAUACCUUCGUGUAGUCCAGGUUAGACAUUGCUUGGUAAAUGAUUUUGAGAAUCUAGAAGUGGGCUCUUCGACUCACCUUAGGCUAUGACUUAUGAUAGUUAUUGAAGACCCUUUGAUACUUUUAUGUACAUCUAAGGAGAUAGUUAUUUUGGUGAUAUUUAGAUGCCUUAGUACUUGUUAGGUAUGAUGCAUGACAUUGGAAGUAAUGCUUAACGAUUAUGUUAUAAAUGAAUUAUUAGUUAAGCUUAUGAUGAGCUAUUGAAUAUGCUAUUAAUUUGGCUACCAAAUAUACUCUUGAAUAAGCCCUUGAUUAUUAUAUUGACUGAGCCAUAAAUUAUGCUAGGUAUUAAGCUAAUGAAUGAGCUAUUAACUAUACUUGUGAUCAUGUUUAUCGAUAUAUUAAUAUAUGCUAUUGUUCAUGCUAGGGGUCAUGCUUAAUAGCUCUAUCGGAAUUAAAUUAUUGAUUAUGCUAUGAAUAAGCUAUAGAUUAAGCUAUGAAUUAGCUAAUGAUCAAGCUAUUGAUAAGAUAUCGAUUAUACUAAUGACAAGCUAUCUCUUAUGCUAAUGAUAAACCGUUAAUUAGGUUAUUAAUAAGUUAUUGCCUAGUUUUGAUAGUAUAUAUUGAUUAUGUUAGAGGUCAUGUUUAAUGACUAUAUUGACGAAUACGUUAUGGAUUCUUCUAAAGAGCAUGCUUAUUGAGUAUAUUAGUGAUUAUGCUAUUGAUAAUGUCAAAGAUCGUGCUUAUAUACUAUAUUGGCAAUCAUGCUAUUGAUAUUUCGAUUCUUAUUAUUGACCAUGUUAAUAUAAUAUGUUCAUGGUUAUGCUAUUAAGUACUCUAUUGAUUGUGCUAUUGGACCUAUUGUUUAUGAUAUUGAUUAUAUAUAUGUCCGGCAAGACCAAAGGGUGAUUAUGAUGAUUUAUAUAUGCCCGGAAAGGCCGGAGGAUAAUUAUGAUGAUAUACAUACAUGCUCAGCAAGGUCGAAGGAUAAUUGUGAUGAUAUAUAUGCCCGGCAAGGCCGGAGGAUGAUUAUGAUGAAUAUAUAUGCCCGAAAAGAUCGGGGGAUGAUUAUGAUGAUACACAUAUGUCCAGCAAGACUGAAAGAUGAUGUAAGACGCUGCAAAAUCCUAAGCUUGAUUUAGUCCUAUAAAAGCUAGUAAGAUGUCCCAGACUUAGAAAAUUUUUUAGCUAAGUGUUCAUACUUAGAGGUAUUUUAGCCUUCGUAAGUUGGCAAUCCUUUUUCAUGACCCUUAUGACCUUCGAAUAUCAAUUUUUAGGUUGAUUCAUGAUCAGAAAUGUUAGUAGGCAUUCUUGGACAAGUUUUGGAUUUUUCAGAUUGUUUGAAACACAUUUGAAAGCUCAAAUUAGUGGAUCGAUGCAAUCUCGACGCGCCGCGUCUCCCACCGCAUCGAUGAGUAUUUUUCCCCAGCUACCAGGGCAAAUUCUAGUGAACCGAUGCGGACUUGAUGCAGCGCGUUGGGUAUCGUGUUGAUGCCAAUGAUGUAGUGCAUCGGUUUGCGCAUCGCUAAAUCAGUUUUCAAUCAUUAAAAAACCGUGUCCUCAGAGGUAAUUAGGUAUUUUCCCACCGUAUUUCAGCCCCCAAAACAUGAAAUUAAGCCCCUUUAGAGGCAAAAUCCAUUCAUCUUUCUCAAAAAUUCUCAAGAAGCAAACCAUUGGAUCUCUAAUUCAAGAUUCAUCCUUUAAAAACACUCCAUUAUUCUUUGCAAAUUUGAAUACCAAGGUAUGUGAAGUGUCCAGCCAAGGGUUUCCUUCCACCCUUAGAGUUCAAGAAACUCUUUAUAAAUACAUGUUAAUUGAUUUCAUGGAUUUCAUGUUGGAUCUUGAAUGUAUUAAUGAUUAUGAUGUUAAUGGUGAUCUAAUUCCAUGAUUUGUCCCAAGUUUCAUGCAAACUAGUUUAAUUAUGAAUUGAAUAUUGUGAACUACAUGUCAAAUUCUUAAAUAGCAAGUUAAACGUAGAAUCCAUGAUAUUAUGACAUGUUUAUUGAUAUAUGAAACACUCAUGCUCUCCAAGUGUUUGUCAAAAUACUUAUGCGAUUAGACUAGUCCAAGCAUAACAUGUUAUUGUAUGAUUUCUAUCAUGCACAAGCUCAUGUAUAACAAGUGUUUGGCGAAAGAUGUCUAAGUGAAUGUAUUAUUAGCAAGCUAGUACCAUUAUGCUACUAAAGUCAUGUAGUGAUUUACUUUUCAUGCUAUCGAGUCCUGAGAGUAUUUAAUACCUGACAAUUUAGCUGCUUACCUAGAGCAAGUGUCAAUUACAAAAUAAUAUCAGUCAUGUCACAAUCAGUAGUACUCUCAGUCAGUUAUAGAACUCAGGAAAAACUUAGUAGACUCAGUAUCAGUCCAAUCCAGUCCAGCUCAGUAUCCAGUUUAGACCUCAGUAAAUUCAGUUUGUUAACAAAAUUUAGUAGUAUUCCAUUAGUCAAUGAAACUCAAUUAACUCAGUUUAGUUCAGUUAGAUAGUAUAAUCAGUAACAGUUCAGUCAAGCCUAGUAUGAACUAGGAACCAAUUCAGUGUCUAUUCAGUUGGGAAUAGAAUUCAGCAUUGAGUGAACCCAAGUAUGAGGACUUACCUGCCAGUAGAGGGCAAAAUCCUUAGAAGAAGUCGUUGUGUUCAAGAACUACGUAGCUAGCGUAGGUUUAGACAUCAACCUACCAGUUGAGGGUUUAUGAGGUAAUCUACCUGCCAGUUGAGGGUACCAUUGUUCUCGUUUAGAGUACCUGCCAGAUGAGGGUGACUCAACACUUGUCCUUACCCGUAGUAUGGUAUUGACACCUUUCAAACUGGGGUUAUAGGUUGGACCCCAAAUCAUUUAGAGAAGGGGCAUGUCGAUUAGAUAAUUACUUCCUACAGUCUCAAUUUCAGAUUCAAUCUCAGUAUGGAACUCAGUUUAGUUUCGCAGAUUCAGAACUAUCAGACACAGUCACUCAGCUCAGUACAGGAUUUAGUAUAGUUCUAUAAACCCAAGACUGUAAGAUACAGUCAUUUAGUUACCAGUAAUUCAGUAUCAGUGUACUCAAAUAUCAUUUAAUCAGUAUUCAGAUUUAGUAUCCAGUGUUAUUAUGAUCUCAGUACAGUUUCUAUAUCCAUGCAUUUUAGCCUACCUCACUGAGUAUAACAGUACAUUCAAAGUACUGACACAUACCUUUCUUUUAUGCUAUGAUGUCUUAUAUCAUAGGUUCAAACGUAUGGGCUCCCGAGCACCCUUAGCAGAUCAGAUUCUUAGUAUACAGAGUUAGUGGUGAGUCCUCAUAGUUUGAGGACGUGAUUAUUUAUUUUAGCAUUUCAGUUCACUUUUAGUAGUCAGAGUUAUUUGGGGACUUGUCCCAUCAACUCCACAGUUCAGACAGUUUAGAGGCUUUUCAGACUAGAGUAUUUUCAAAUAGUUGUUCAGUUUUCAGUAUUGAUGUUUAUUUUUGGUAUUGUGAUAGCAUAUAUAGUAUUAUUUAUAGUAUUGAACCUUAUCGCCAAUUUUUCACCUACUUUCCACAUAUUUACCCUAUUAUUAUUCAAUCAUUACAGCAGGUACCAGUCAUGGAUUAACUUGUGAUCCUUCAUGAUUAUGAGCAUCGUGUAGCAUUCAGGGUACAGACUCAGGGUGUUACAAACUUUGUAUUAGAGCCUAAGGUUCAAUAGAGUACUAGGAAGUCUAAAGCCGUGUAUAGUAGAGUCUCGUGCAUGGGUGUGUAGCGCGCCACACUUAUGGACAAGAAGCUAUGAGGUGUUUUAGGAAAAGUUUCCCUUUCUUCAGUAUUCAUAUCAUACGGGUUAGAAUGAGCUCAAUUUAAACUCUCAAUCUAAUUUAUUUCUCCCUUAUGCUUCCAGAACAUGCCUUUCAGAGAAGCUAACGAGAGAAGUAAUAAAAAUUAGCCAGCCCCUCUGUCCGUUUAGGCAGAUCCCCUGAAUGAGCCUGUCUCCCACUCUGAAUUUAGAGAUGCUUUCACCAUCUUAGCUUAUUAAAUAGCUUCUCAGAAUAAUCAACUAGCUAUAAUCCUGUAAAGGCUUAUGGCUCUGCUCUGCAGAGUGAGAAGAGGUAAUACGUGUCAAAGAGGCAUCUUAGCACUCGAGGACAUGAAGAAGUAAGUGAAGACCCAAGAUUGUGGGGGUGCCCAUCAGAGGAACAAGCUUUGAAGUGUAGAAAACAAGUCCCACACUCCAAAGUUGUUACUGUUCAUCUGUUACUGUUCAUUCGCCCCUUUGUAAGGGUUUUUUGGUCAUUUGUAAUAAGUUGCCCUAGCUAUAAAUAUAACCUUAUUAGGUCAUUUUGGGGAAGAUUUUUGAUGAUAUUUGUAGCCUCUUUUGAGAGCCUCUUAGCAAGGUGGAAUCUUGGACAAGUUGGAAUCCUUAUGUUGAUGAAUCGCUUAGAAAUGGAGAUUGCUUGGGGAUUCUAGUUCCCUUGACAUCACGUAAGAGAUAGGUUUAGGUUGUGUGUGAUAUUUAAGGUCCAAAAGUGGAAUAUGCUUUUGGGUUGUUAAUAUUACAUCUUCAUUUGUCUAUCUAUCUAUCUUUAUCUUAUUGCACUUUGUAUGUUUGUAGUGGACUGUUUUUGUGUCUUGUUGAAUCCGAAAGUUGUGUUCUUGUAUUCAUCUUGUUCAUUACGUGUUUUUUCUAUUUUUUAAUGUGUUUUACUCUUGAUAUCACUUCCUUUCUUGUUCUUCUUGCGAAUCCGAGAUAGGUCAUCAAAAGGGUCCAUAGUUCUUGAACUAGUGGACUGAUUUUGGUGUUUGUUUCAUGUGUUCUUGGGGAUUUUUGGUAUCAUUUGGUAUCAAAUACAUAUUUGGUGUUGUUCUUACAAUACCAAUCUUGGGCUUUCUUGCUAAGAAAAUUAAAAAAAAAAACUAACUUGGUGUUCUUGUUAUUCUUAGCCUUGAAAGUAUUGUUCUUGUUGUUCAUCUUGGCCGAGGUUGCUUGUAGCAUCUAGAUCUAGUAGUCCUUUGGUGUGUAUUGUUGUUUAUUGUAUUAGUUUCAUGAUUCACUAACACUAAAAGGUGUUUAGAUCUAUAUUUGAGCUUGAACUUGUUAAAGUUGUGUUGUGAACAAAGACCUAGGGUGAGAAUUUAUGACUUGUGGCCGGUUGGGUCUUGGAUUCGUGAAUAUUUUUGUUGUUCUUACAACUUAAGACAACUAAAAGUGUAAUAUAGAUUCAAAAAGGUGAACCUAUAAGUUGUAAAGUUGUUUGUGAGAAGACUUGAGCCUUCACUUGACUUAACAUCUACUUUUCAACCACUUUUCCUUGUUUCAAGGGACCUUGUUUUGUGAGAAUUGUACAAAGUCAAGUCUUGCCUUUUGAAGAUUAGACUUAAAGGAGAUUCAAAACAUAUACUUUCCAUCCAAAACCAAUUGUUUCCAUUACAUAGUAACUAAAGUUUGUAAACUUCAACUAGUGACUAAUUGUGGGGUCAUGACCAAUGGUGUGCUUCCACGUCCCCCAAGUUACUGUUCACACAAAAAUAUUAAGCUUAAAUGGUGAUCUUUUAGUUUUAUUUUGUUGUCUUAUUAGUUUCGUUUGUUGAUUCCAGCCAAUACUAACUUAAAAACUAGUGACAAUUUACUAGAUUGUGAGUUGGUUUUGAAACCAUUUUUUCUAUGUUUACAUUUCUUUGUGUGUUUUUAUUCUUUUGAGUCAUUGUACACACUCGGUUCACUAAUGAUCAAGCUAUUGAUAAGAUAUCGAUUAUACUAAUGACAAGCUAUCUCUUAUGCUAAUGAUAAACCGUUAAUUAGGUUAUUAAUAAGUUAUUGCCUAGUUUUGAUAGUAUAUAUUGAUUAUGUUAGAGGUCAUGUUUAAUGACUAUAUUGACGAAUACGUUAUGGAUUCUUCUAAAGAGCAUGCUUAUUGAGUAUAUUAGUGAUUAUGCUAUUGAUAAUGUCAAAGAUCGUGCUUAUAUACUAUAUUGGCAAUCAUGCUAUUGAUAUUUCGAUUCUUAUUAUUGACCAUGUUAAUAUAAUAUGUUCAUGGUUAUGCUAUUAAGUACUCUAUUGAUUGUGCUAUUGGACCUAUUGUUUAUGAUAUUGAUUAUAUAUAUGUCCGGCAAGACCAAAGGGUGAUUAUGAUGAUUUAUAUAUGCCCGGAAAGGCCGGAGGAUAAUUAUGAUGAUAUACAUACAUGCUCAGCAAGGUCGAAGGAUAAUUGUGAUGAUAUAUAUGCCCGGCAAGGCCGGAGGAUGAUUAUGAUGAAUAUAUAUGCCCGAAAAGAUCGGGGGAUGAUUAUGAUGAUACACAUAUGUCCAGCAAGACUGAAAGAUGAUGUAAGACGCUGCAAAAUCCUAAGCUUGAUUUAGUCCUAUAAAAGCUAGUAAGAUGUCCCAGACUUAGAAAAUUUUUUAGCUAAGUGUUCAUACUUAGAGGUAUUUUAGCCUUCGUAAGUUGGCAAUCCUUUUUCAUGACCCUUAUGACCUUCGAAUAUCAAUUUUUAGGUUGAUUCAUGAUCAGAAAUGUUAGUAGGCAUUCUUGGACAAGUUUUGGAUUUUUCAGAUUGUUUGAAACACAUUUGAAAGCUCAAAUUAGUGGAUCGAUGCAAUCUCGACGCGCCGCGUCUCCCACCGCAUCGAUGAGUAUUUUUCCCCAGCUACCAGGGCAAAUUCUAGUGAACCGAUGCGGACUUGAUGCAGCGCGUUGGGUAUCGUGUUGAUGCCAAUGAUGUAGUGCAUCGGUUUGCGCAUCGCUAAAUCAGUUUUCAAUCAUUAAAAAACCGUGUCCUCAGAGGUAAUUAGGUAUUUUCCCACCGUAUUUCAGCCCCCAAAACAUGAAAUUAAGCCCCUUUAGAGGCAAAAUCCAUUCAUCUUUCUCAAAAAUUCUCAAGAAGCAAACCAUUGGAUCUCUAAUUCAAGAUUCAUCCUUUAAAAACACUCCAUUAUUCUUUGCAAAUUUGAAUACCAAGGUAUGUGAAGUGUCCAUCCAAGGGUUUCCUUCCACCCUUAGAGUUCAAGAAACUCUUUAUAAAUACAUGUUAAUUGAUUUCAUGGAUUUCAUGUUGGAUCUUGAAUGUAUUAAUGAUUAUGAUGUUAAUGGUGAUCUAAUUCCAUGAUUUGUCCCAAGUUUCAUGCAAACUAGUUUAAUUAUGAAUUGAAUAUUGUGAACUACAUGUCAAAUUCUUAAAUAGCAAGUUAAACGUAGAAUCCAUGAUAUUAUGACAUGUUUAUUGAUAUAUGAAACACUCAUGCUCUCCAAGUGUUUGUCAAAAUACUUAUGCGAUUAGACUAGUCCAAGCAUAACAUGUUAUUGUAUGAUUUCUAUCAUGCACAAGCUCAUGUAUAACAAGUGUUUGGCGAAAGAUGUCUAAGUGAAUGUAUUAUUAGCAAGCUAGUACCAUUAUGCUACUAAAGUCAUGUAGUGAUUUACUUUUCAUGCUAUCGAGUCCUGAGAGUAUUUAAUACCUGACAAUUUAGCUGCUUACCUAGAGCAAGUGUCAAUUACAAAAUAAUAUCAGUCAUGUCACAAUCAGUAGUACUCUCAGUCAGUUAUAGAACUCAGGAAAAACUUAGUAGACUCAGUAUCAGUCCAAUCCAGUCCAGCUCAGUAUCCAGUUUAGACCUCAGUAAAUUCAGUUUGUUAACAAAAUUUAGUAGUAUUCCAUUAGUCAAUGAAACUCAAUUAACUCAGUUUAGUUCAGUUAGAUAGUAUAAUCAGUAACAGUUCAGUCAAGCCUAGUAUGAACUAGGAACCAAUUCAGUGUCUAUUCAGUUGGGAAUAGAAUUCAGCAUCGAGCAAACUCAGGGAUAGGGGCAUACCUGCCAGUAGAGGGUUUGACCCUUAGUAUCAAUCCCUGCAUUACAGAACUACAUAGCCAGUGUAGGUUGAGAUAUCUUCCUACCAGACUAGGCUUAAUACAUUUCAUAUGAGUUUUCCUGCCGAUGAGGGUUGACAAAAGAGCUUACUGUUAGAGAGAGUUAACUCACAAUUGUCUUUACCUAUGGCAUGGUACUGAUACCCUUUCAACUGAGGUUACAGGUUGGACCCCAAUCUAUUCAGAAAGGGGCAUGUCGGUUAGAUGAUUACCUCCCACAGUCUUAGUUUCAGUUCUAGUCUCAGUAUAGAUCUCAAUUUAGUUCUACAAUACUAGGACUGUCAGAUACAAGCACUCAGUUCAGUAUGAAACUCAAUAUAGUUCAAUAAAAUUUAGACUGUCAGAUAUAGUUAUUUAACUAUUAAUAAUACAUCAUUAGUAAACUCAGAUAUCAGUAAAUCAGUAAUUCAGAACUUAGUAUCCAGUGUUAUCCCGACCUCAGUUAUAGUUUACGGAUUCAUGCAUGUACUUUCAUUCAAUUAUACUCAUGUUACUCAGUCAGUAUUGUUCAUGUAUAUGAAUCCAUGCAUCUCAGCCUACCUCACCUAGCAUACCGGUACAUUCAAAGUACUAACGCAUACCUUUCUUUUAUGCUAUGAUAUCUUAUAUCAUAGGUUCAGACGCACGAGCUCCCGAUCAUACUUAGAAGCUCGAUCUAUCAAUAGCAAGCUAGUGGUGAGUCCUUAUAGUUUGAGGGAAUGAUUAUUACUUCAGUAUCUUAGUUUAUCAGUUUUCAGUAGUCGAGGUUAGUUGUGGUUUUGUCCCAUUAAUCCCUUAUUCAGACAAUAGAGGCUUAUCAGACUAGAGUGUUUCAGACACAUGUAUCAGUAUUCAGUACUCAUUAUCUAUUUACUGUUUUGAACCUUAUGGUAAGGUUUUGCCUAAUUCCCACAUAAUAUAUUAUUAUUAUUCUGUUAUUAAGCAGUACCAAUCAUGGGUUAGUUUGCGGCCCCUCGGAAUUAUGAGCACUGUGUAGCGUCUGGGGUACAAACUCGAGGUAUUAUAAAGCUGGUAUCAGAGCCUAAGGUUCAACAGAGUCCAAAAAAGUCUGAAAACCGCAUCUAGUAGAGUCUUAUGCAUGGGUGUGUAGCGCGCCACACUUAUGGACAGGAGGCUACGAGAUGUUUAUGGAAAAGUUUCCAUUUUUUUAGUAUUCAUGUCGUGCGAGUGAACAUGAGCUCAAGUUAACCUCUCAGUCUAAUCCAUUCUCUUCUUUUUGUUUACAGAACAUGCCUUCCAAAAAGACUACCGAAAAGAGAACCAGAAACCAGUCAGCACCUCAGCCUGUCUAGCCAGAUCCCUUGAACAAACAUAUCUCGCACGCUGAAUUCAUAGCAUCUUUCACCACCCCAACUCAUUUUGUGGCAGCCCAGAAUGAACACCUAGUUUCUGCUCUGACCAACCCAGUGGCUAAUACUACUACAACCAGGAUUCGAGACUUCACUUGAAUGAAUCCUCAAUUUUUUAUCGGGUCAAAGUCAGAUGAGGACCCACAGAAAUUCCUUGAUCAGGUGCAGAAGGUUAUAGAUAUUUUGGGGAUGACAUCUAGUGAGAGUGCUGAGUUAGCUGCAUAUCAGUUACAGGAUGUGGCUCACUCAUGGGUCAAAUAGUAGAAAGCAGAGAUGGCCACAGACGCAGGGCCCAUAGAAUGAGAGGAGUUUGCUAUUGCUUUUGGGAUAGAUUCUUUUCGCUAGAGUCUAGGAAAGAGAAGGUUUUGGAAGUUAUAAACUUGAAGCAGGGAAACAUGAUGGUACAAGAGUAUUCUCUCAAGUUUACUCAAUUAGUUAGAUACGCUCCUCAUGUGGUAGCAUAUAGCAGAUCUAAUAUGAGUAAGUUUGUGUCUGGCACAUCUAAUAGUGUGGUCAAGAAGUCCAGGACCAUAAUAUUGAUUAAGGAGAUGGACAUAUCCAGGCUUAGCAGAUAGAGGAGGCUAAAAAUAGAGAUAAGGAGAGGGAGGAUAAGAGAGUGAGAACAAGUAGUUUUAACUUCACUUAGCCUAAGUCAGAGGGUGGGAAUCGUUCUCAAUUCUGUCCAAAAUUCUCUGUUCUAGCUUUGUCCUCAGCCAGUGCUCCCGUGCUAAAAUUUUGAGACGGUAAUAGAGAUAGGGAGUUAGGACCUAAACCCCAGGGUAGUGUUAGCAGGGACCGAAUUCUCUCUGCCAAAAGUGUGGAAGAAACCAUCAGGGUGUCUGCAGAGCUGGCAGUGACGUAUGUUUCAGAUGUAGCAAUCCAGGCCACAGAGUUAGAUAGUGUCCUCAGGUGGGUUCGCAGAGUCAACAUAACCAUCUCUCAGCUCAGUUCGAUCGCUCGAAUCAGUAGGGUGCCGCUUGCAGUGCCACCAGUGGGCAACGUCCAAAUAGACUUUAUGCACAUCAGUCCCGACAAGAUCAGGAAAGUCUCCUGAUAUGGUCACUGUUACAUUGUAGGUUUAUCAUUUGGAUGUUUAUGCUUUGCUAGAUCCAGGAGCUUCUUUGUAUUUUGUAAUUCCCUAUAUAGCUGUUGACUUCAAAGUCAGUCUCAAAAUUUUAGCAGAGCCUUUCUCAGUCUCUACCCUAGUGGGUAAAUCUAUUAUAUCCCGACAGGUAUAUAGGAACUAUCCGAUUAUGGUAUCUCAAAAAUUCACUUCAGCAGACUUAGUCAAAUUAGAGAUAACCAAUUUUGAUGUCAUUUUUGGCAUGGAUUGGCUUCAUUCUUACUAUGCCUCAGUCAACUGUAGAAACAAAAUUGUCUAAUUUUAGUUUCCGAAUAAGCCCUUCCUAGAGUGGAGGGGUAGUACUUCAAUACUUAGGGGUCAACUUGUUUCCUACCUUAGGGAAAGUAAAAUGAUAUCUAAGGGAUGUGUCUACCAUUUUGUUUGAGUCCAAGACUCUAGUUCAGAAGCCUUUACUAUUGAGUCAGUAUCAGUAGCAUUUGAAUUCUUAAACAUGUUACUCAAAGAUCUUCUCGGAGUUCCUUCCGAAAGGGAAAUCAACUUCGGAAUAGACCUUCUUCCAGAUACUCAGCCCAUAUCUAUUCCGCCAUAUAGAAUGGCUCCAUUAGAACUCAAAGAAUUAAAAGAACAGUUAAAAGAUCUCCUAGAUAAGGGAUUUAUCAGACCCAGUGUAUCCCCACGGGGUGCACCGGUUCUAUUCGUACAUAAAAAAGAUACUUCUUUCAGAAUAUGUAUUGACUAUCGUUAGUUAAAUAAAGUCACGAUCAAAAAUAGUUAUCCACUUCCCAGGAUUGAGGACUUGUUUGACUAGCUUUAGGGUGCCAAUUAUUUUUCUAAGAUAGACCUCCGAUCAGGCUAUCAUCAGCUCAGAGUCAGAGAAGGUGACAUUUUGAAAACAAUUUUCCGAACUCGAUAUGGUUAAUUUAAAUUCUUAGUCUUGUACUUUGGUCUUACCAAUGCCCCAUUAGCUUUCAUAGACUUGAUGAACCGUGUGUUCAAAUAUCACUUAGACAUGUUUGUCAUAGUCUUCAUAGAUGACAUCCUUGUCUACUUUCGCAGUGAACAUGAUUAUGUAGACCAUCUCAGAAUAUUAUUACAGACUCUCAAAAACCAGUAGCGGUUCACCAAAUUCAGUAAGUGAAAAUUUUGGCUAAGGUCAGUAGCUUUCCUUGGCCAUAUAGUUUCUACUGAUGGCAUUAGAGUUAAUCCCCAAAAGAUUGAAGCAGUGAGAAAUUAGCCCAAACCUAUCUCUCCAGUAGAUAUCAAGAGUUUCUUGGGUUUGGCUGGCUAUUGCCAAUGGUUUGUUGAAGGAUUUUCAUCUAUUGCAUCCCCUAUGUACAGAUUGACUCAGAAGAAGUUCAAAUUUCAUUGGUUAGAUUCUUGUGAGAAGAGUUUUUAGGAGUUAAAGACCCAACUCACUACAACCUCAAUUUUGACUCUACCAGAUGGUUCAUACGACUUUGUUGUGUAGUAUGAUUCUUCUAGGGUUGGUUUGGGGUGUAUUUUGAUACAAGGAGGUAAGGUCAUAGCCUACGCCUCUAGACAACUCAAACCCAUGAAAAGAACUAUCCAACUCAUGAUCUUGAGUUAGUAGCAGUAGUAUUUGCCUUAGAGAUUUGAAGGCACUAUUUGUAUAGAGUGCACGUUGAAAUGUUCACUGACUAUAAGAGCCUACAGUAUGUGUUAUCUCAGAAAGACCUAAACCUCUAUUAGAGAAGGUGGUUGGAGUGGUUGACGGACUAUUGUAUGAGUGUUUUGUAUCAUCCGAGCAAAGCCAAUGUAGUGGCUGAUGCUCUAAGUAGGAUGAUUAUGGGUAGUGUUUCUCAUGUGGAUGAUUGUAAGAAGAAGUUAGCUCAGGAAGUUCAUCUGCUUGCCCGACUAGGUGUUCACUUAGUCAAUUCAGCAAAAAUUAGUGUAUGGGUGUAGAGAAGUUCAGAAUCAUCCCUGGUUUCCAAAGUGAAAAAAGGAAGGAUAGGGAUCCCAGCCUAGUUAAGUUGAAAAAAUUAGUCAGAGAUUAGAAGAUAGAGAUUUUCUCCUAAGGUGGAGAUGGUGUAUUGCAUUGUCAGGGUCGUCUAUGUGUUCCAGGUGUAGAUAACCUAAGACAACGGAUUCUUACAGAAGUGCAUAGUGCGUGUCACUCUAUACGUCCAGGGGGCACUAAGAUGUACCAUGAUUUAUGGGAGAUAUAUUGGUGGAGUGGGAUUAAUAGAGACAUCACAGAGUUUAUGGCUAAGUGCUCAACAUAUCAGUAGGUUAACAUUGAGCAUCGGAAACCAAGUGGGUCCAUAUAGGAGUUUAGUAUUCCCACUUGGAAAUAGAAAGAAGUGAACAUGGACUUUGUGAUGGGUUUGCCUCAUACCCGUCGACAUCACGAUUCAGUUUGGGUCAUUAUAAAUGGAAUGACCAAAUCAACUCAUUUCCUUCCAAUCCAUAACUCUUAUUCAACCGAGGACUAUGCCAAGCUCUAUGUCAGGGAGUUAGUUGGAUUACAGAGAGUUUCAUUAUCUAUUAUCUUAGAUAGAGGUAUGUAGUUUGCCUUUUAUUUUUGGAUGGCAUUCCAAAAGGGUCUUGGUACCCAAGUCUACCUUAUUAUAGCUUUUCACCCUCAGACAGAUGGUCAAACAUAAAGGAACAUUCAGACGUUAGACGAUAUACUGCGAGCAUGUGCGAUAGACUUUAAAGGUAGUUGGGAUGACCACUUGCCUUUAAUUGAGUUCGCAUAUAACAAUAACUAUCAUUCUAGCAUUCAGAUGGCUCUAUUUGAGGUGCUCUAUGGGAGGAGAUAUAGAUCUCCCAUUGGUUGGUUUAAAGUGAGUGAGGCUACAGUGGUAGGUCCUGACUUGGUAUUUGAUACCUUAGAGAAAGUUCAGUUGAUCAGGGAAAGGCUUAAGAUAGCUUAGAGCCUACAGAAAUUGUAUGCAGAUUUGUACAGAAAGGAUCUCGAGUUUGAGAUUAGUGAUUAUAUGUAUUUUAAAAUCUCUCCUAUGAAAGCAGUGAAGUGGUUUGUCAAAAAGGGGAAGCUCAGUCCCCGAUAUAUCGGUCCUUACCGAAUUCUCAGCCAUUUCAGAAAGGUAGCUUACGAUCUUGAGUUGCCUUCAGAAUUAGCUUUAGUCCAUCCAGUGUUCCAUGUCUCCUUACUAAAGAAAUGCAUAGGUGACCCAGCAGUUGUAGUCCCUGUAGGGAAUAUAGACAUUCAGAAUAGCCUCUCUUAUAAGGAGAUUCUAGUCGAAAUCCUUGAUUAUCAGAUUUAUAGAGGAACAAAGAGGUCCAUCUAGUCACAGCUCUUUGGCGGAACCAGUUCGUUGAGAGAGCUACUAGGGAAGCAUAAGCAGAUAUGCAGACCAAGUAUCCUUACUUCUUCUCUACAAACUCAGACUCAACCUGAGGUAACAGUUUUUCCUUGAACUUACUCAGUUUCAUGCUUAGAUUUUCUUUAUAAACUUUGUAUCAGUUACUAUUGCAUAUUCAGUCAUACAUUCAUGAGUCCGUUCAGUCAGAUAUUUAUGCAUUAGAUAUGCAUGUUCAGUAUAAGAGACUCAGCUUAUCAGCAAUCCCAUCCAUGUACUCAUGCAUUAGAUAUGCAUAUUCAGUAUGAAAUUUCAGCAUAUUCAGUAUGAAAUUUCAGCAUAUCAGUAGUGUCAGUCAUGAGAUCAUGUUACAGUUGUGCAUGUCCUGUAUCUAAAUUCAUUCUAUCAGUAUUCUCAGACCAGUCAGUCUCAUUCAAGGACAAAAGUUCCCAAGGGGAAGACAUUGUAAGACACUGCAAAAUACUAAGCCUGAUUCAGUCAUGUAAAAGAUAGUAAGGGGUCCCAGACUUGGAAAAAAAUUCAGAAAAUUCAGCUAACUGUUCAUACUUAGAGUUAUUUUAGCCAUCAUAAGUUGGCAAUCCUUUUUCACGACCCUUAUGACCUUCAAAUAUUUUUUUAGGCCGAUUCAUGAUUCGAAAUGUCAGUAGUUGUUUUUGGACAAGUAUAAGAUUUUUCGGACUACGUUUGAAACAUAUUUGAAAGCUCAAACAAGUGGAUCAACGCGAUCUCAAUGCGUCGCGUCGCCCAUCGCGUCGAUGAGUGUGUUUCCCCAGCUCCCAGUACAAAUUUUAGUGAACCAAUGCAGACUCGAUACGACACAUUGUCUAUCGCAUCGAUGCCAACGAUGUGGUGCGUUGGUCUGUGCAUCGCUAAAUCAGUUUUUAGUCAUUAAAAAGCCGCGUCCUCAUGGGUAAUUGGGUGUUUUCCCACCGUAUGUCAGCCCCCAAAACAUGAAAUUAAGCCCCUUUAGAGGCAAAAUCCUUUCAUCUUUCUCAAAAAUUCUCAAGAAGCAAACCCUAGGAUCUCUAAUUCAAGAUUCAACCUUCAAGAACACUCCAUCAUUCUUUGCAAAUUUAAAUACCAAGGUAUGUGAAGUGUCUAUCCAAGGGUUUCCUUCCACCCUUGGAGUUCAAUAAACUCUUUCUAAAUAUAAGUUAAUUGAUUUCAUGUUGGAUCUUAAAUAUAUUAAUGUUUAUGAUGUUAAUGGUGAUCUAAUUCCAUAAUUUGUCCUAAGUUUCAUGCAAACUAGUUUAAUUUUGAAUUAAAUUUUGUGAACUACAUGUAAAACUCUUGAAUUGCAAGUUGAAUGUAGAAUCCAUGAUAUUACUACAUGUUUAUUGAUAUGUGAAAUACUCAUGCUCUCCAAGUGUUUGUCAAAAUGCUUAUGUGAUUAGACUAGUCCAAGAAUAACAUGUUAUUGUGUGAUUGCAAUCCUGCACAAGCUCAUAUAUAACAAGUGUUUGACCAAAGAUUUCUAAGUGAGUGUAUUAUUAGCAAGCUAGUACCAUUAUUCAACUAAAGUCAUGUAGUGAUUUACUUUUCAUGCUAUCGAGUCCUGGGGGUAUUUAAUACUCGACAAUUUAUCUUUUUACCUAGAGCCAGUGUCAGUUACAGAAUAAUAUCAGUCAUGUCAUGAUUAGUAGUACACUCAGUCAGUUACAGAACUCAAAAAAAAUUCAGUAGACUCAGUAUCAGUCCAGUCCAGUUUAGUAUCCAGUUCAGACCUUAGUAAAUUCAGUGAGUUAACAGAAUUCAGUAGUAUUUCAUCAAUCAACGGAACUCAGUGAACUCAGUUAUGUUCAGUUAGACAGUAUAAUCAAUAACAGUUUAGUCAAGCCUAGUAUGAACUACGAAUUAGUUCAGUGUCUAUCCAAUAGGGAGUAGAAUUCAGCACCGAGCGAACUCAGGGAUGGGGGAAUUCCUGCCAGCAGAGGGUUUGAUCCUUAGUAGCAAUCCCUGCGUUACAGAACUAUGUAGCCACGGUAGGUUGAGAUAUCUUCCUGUCGGACUAGGGUUGUGUAUCUCAUAUGAGUUUUUCUGCCAACGAAGGUUAACGAAAGAGCUUUUUAUCAGAAAGGGUUAACUCAUAAUUGUCUGUACUUGUGGCACGGUACUGAUAGCCUUCCAAUUGGGGUUACAGGUUAGACCCCAAUCUAUUCAGGAAAGGGCAUGUCGGUUAGAUGAUUACCUCCUACAAUUUCAGUUUUAGUUCCAAUCUCAGUAUAGAACUCAGUUUAGUUUAGCAAUAUUAGGAUUGUCAGAUAUAGUUACUCAGUUCUGUACGAAACACAGUAUAGUUCCCCAAAAUUUGGACUAUCAGAUAUAGUCAUUCAGAUAUCAGUAAUACAACGUCAGUAAACUUAGAUUUCAGUAAAUCAGUAAUUCAAAACUUAGUAUCCAGUGUUAUAAAGGCCUCAGUUACAGUUUAUGUAUUUAUGCAUGUACUUUCAUUCAUUUAUACUCAUGUCAUUCAGUCAGUAUUGUUCAUGCAUAUGAAUCUAUGCAUCUUAGCCUACCUCACUUAACAUACCAGUACAUUCAAAGUACUGAUGCAUACCUUUCUUUUGUGCUAUGAUGUCUUAUAUCAUAGGUUCAGAUGCACGGGCUCCCAUUCAUACUUAGCAACCCCAUCCAUCAGCAUCAGACUAGUGGUGAGUCCUCAUAGUUUGAGGACAUGAUUAUUACUUCAGUAUCUCAUUUUAUCAGUUUUUAGUAGUCGGGGUUAGUUGGGGUUUUGUCCCAUCAAUCCCUUAUUCAAACAGUAGAGGCUUAUCAGACUAGAGUAUUUUAGACAGAUAUAUCAGUAUUCAGUUUUUAGUACUCAGUAUUUGUGUACAGUUUUGAAACUUAUGGCAAUUUUUUGCCUAAUUUCUGCAUAAUAUAGUAUUAUUAUUCAGUUAUUACAGCAGGUACCAGUCAUGGGUUAACUUGUGGUUCCUCAGGAUUAUGAGCACCAUGUAGCAUCCGGGGUAAAAACUCGGGGCAUUACAGAUGAUUAUGAUGAUAUUUAUGAGGAUAUCGUUGAAUAUCUAUACCAGUUCAAGUCUGGAUAUAUGUAUUAACUAUAGUGAUAUGCUUAUUAUGAUACGAUGACAGUGGGGUGUGAGAUUGAAAAUCUAGAUAAGUUGAAAAUGAGGAAAUAGUUAUAAUAUAGUAUGAUAUGAAUAAAGUCUAGUGAUAUAAUGAUUUGUUGAUAAAUAUUGGUUAGUUGACAAAUAUUGGUUAAUUGGUAAAUAAUGACUAGUUAAUAAGUGUUGAUUAUCUUCCAUAUGAAUAUUAGUUAAUAAGUGAUGUUUAGUUGAUAAAUGAUGAUUUAUUGAUACAUGGGGAUUAGUUGUUACAUGAUGGUUAGUUGAUAAGUGUUGAUUGAUUGAAAAAAGAUAAUAUGGACAAUCGAUGGUUAUAAUGUGACAUGACUUGGAGGAAUUCCAAUUGCAUUAUGAGAGUUGAUAAAUGACGGUGGCGAGUUACUCUAUAUUGUUUGUACCUUCCAGGUUUAUGGGGUCUUGCAAUGGGUUAUUUACUUUUCCGCACUAAUUUGCGUAUGUGAGCCAAUUUUAUAGUUAUGGUUGCUUGUGUUGAUACUUUAUGUCACAUUAUACUAUUAUUCAGGUUUAUUUACUUGUUUAUGCAUAGUAGUGUUGGAGUUACUUUAGGUUUGUCUAUGCCCUGACUUAGUUAUGUUAUAUUGUAUCUUAUCAUAUUUAUAUCAUGAUUUAGCUCAGUCAGUCAAUGAUGCUUGUUGAGUACUUGUAGUUUUGGUACUGUCAUGAGCCAAUACCUUAACCCAGAGAUAGCACAAUGGGUUAAUUAGGUAAGAAAUGCUCAACUAGGCCCAAAACCCAGCAAACACAAGAUAUACAUAAACAAUGUUCUAAUAUAAAAGGAUAACUAAACACGGAUACCAAUCCCACAAUCGGGCAUAAUCAGUACAAGAGCAUCUAAGUAUGAUAGAAAUGGAAUACAACCCAAGCAUCUUAAAUAGUCAAUACAUCAGUGUCAAAUACAAAAGAAUGAAUCAAAGAUAGAAGGAAACGGGCGAUUGAAAACUGCAAGAACUCACCCUAUCUUUGUAAUGUCAACACCGCAUGAACUCGACUCAACAAUGACAACUAAUACUCGGAUCUACACCAAAAAGGUACUGAAGGGUAUUAUGAGUACAAAAAGAAUAGGUACAUAGUAGGCAUCAUCGGACAACUAAUCUAAAUUAUGAUAUAAAGAUGAUUAGUGCAAGAUAAAUAUAUCUAAGUUAAGGUAUAGAAUAGAACCUGAACCGUCUCCAUCAUCACUAUAUAUAGUAAGUAAUCAAAUUGGAAUAAUAAUAAUGUAACGCAUCAUCCUACACAAUAUUGUCAUGCAUAGGGAAUAAAUGACUCAAAGUCAUAAAUUAAUGCGAGUACAAUCACAAGAAACAAAAGUACAAAUUUCACGCCCAUACACCAACUAGUGCAUAAAAUAAAGGAACCCAUCAUUGCGUCCCAUACCACUGGAGAGUACACCCAAGCAAAUAAUAUGAUUCAACUAUUUAACCAACAAUGUAACCAAAUCUCAUCAUUAUUCGGCCAUAUUCGACAUUUUUCAUCAAUAGGUCAUUUUAUACAAAUUUCAUUAGUUACCAACAUCGACCAUAUAAUCAAGUCCAUACUAUUACCAUCAUUGGCCACAUAUUAACCAUAUUCACUAACUACCAUAUUUUAGCAAAACAAGGGUCAUUAACUAGUCCAUGGAAUCUCUAACCAUUAAGUAAUAUAUUUAUUCAAUAAACAACAAGUCACCACAAAGCUUAUUCUAAUAGUCAGUAUACAUUAAUUUACCCUUAUUUGAUACUAGCAUUACCAACUAGAUGGAUCCUCAUUUUAUAAUAGUUUCCACUUGUUAACUACUCUUGUUUCCUCAUUUGACAACCACCAUCACAAUCCCCUGAUUACCAUUAAUCAUUGACUACUCCUAUUUAUAAUAAUUCAACACUAGUAAUCUAUAUCCGGCACCCCAAGGUCAACAUUAUACUCUCAUUUCACACGCGAAGGUACACGUAAAAAAAUAUGUAUAUAUUUUUCAUACAUAGGGCUAGCCGAAACUUAAACCUUUAGGUGCACUCAUGGGAACAUCAAUAAUCAUCCUCGAGCCUUUUCAGGUAUCGUAAUAUUAGGAACAUAUCCUCUAUCCUCUCUGGGCAUCAUUACAUAACAAUAUAUCCUCCAUCCUUAUCGGGCAUAAUCAUCACAUAAAUAUAUCCUCCAGCCUUGCCGGGCGUUAUCAUCAUGUCAAUAUAUAUAUAUAUAUAUAUAUAUAUAUUGUGAUGGUAUCAUGAAAAUCUUACUGAAGGGUUAAAACAGACAUCAAUGAUACCAUGACAAUAUAUAAAUAUAUUGUGAUUGUAUCAUUAUGGACUAAAGAAAAUUCAAUGAUACCAUGUAUAUAUAUAUAUAUAUAUAUAUAUAGUAUAAGCAUCACAAAGAAUUUCUUGAUUUAACAUGGUUUGUAGCAUAACUUCUCAUGUAGUCAAUAAAUAUACAUUCUAGAGCCCUUAGCAUCAUGACUCACAAUAUCAGCAACAAGAGGGACUUCUAGCAAAAGCACUAGUUUGGUUACUAGAAUAAAGCAUAAAAUAUUUAAUAUCAUGGCCCAAGCCCAAAAUAGUAGUCUAGUCAAUGGUUCAAGUGAUAACAUAGCCAUGGGCUUAAUUAAUAAUAUACUCCUUAGCUUUUCAUAACAUUAACAAUAAGUUCGACAACAGCCAAAUAUAUCAGUUCUAAUCUAAGCACCAUAGUUCAUUUACCUGCUUUAGCCAAAAUGAUCCCCAAGGCAUUCUCAAGCAUUUAAUAAGCAUCUAAGGUCUUUAGUGGAACUACAUAAGUCCAAGCCUAAGGUGGGUCAAAAUCCCACUUCUAAUUCCUUACAAUACAUUUCAAGUAUAACUUAUACCCGAAACUAGGCUAAGAUAUCUAAAUCAAGCCUGAGAUCCCUAACAAGCCAUAAUAGUCCUAAGAUAAGGAUCUUUCUCAAGCACUACUCCUAACUCAUCCAUAACAGCUUAGACAAAUCCAUAAAUAUGUAUGACUAGUGUUUACUUACCCUUCGUAUUAGUGAAAAAAUCAUCCUAUCUAAAUAGAGCAACAAGAUCCUUCUCAUGUUACCCAUAAGACGAUAAGUCCAAUUAACCAAGGUUCUAGCCUAUAAGUCAAGCAUUUCAACCUAUGAGUUCAGAAUAGCCUAAAGGAUUCAAAUAAUCCCAAGUUUUACAUUGAUCAAUCCAACUCCUAAAACCCCUCCCAAUUAAAUAAGAUAUCAUAACUAUAGUAUAAUAUAGCUCAAUCUAACAAGAAGUAAGCCUAACCUACCUCUAAUCCAAAGAAAGCUCACAAACUGCUAAACCUUUGCUUUUCCCUUUUGAGAAGCUUCUUCAAGAUUCCAAGCUAUCAAACAAAAUCUACACAUCAUUAUGAUAAUAUCGAUACCCAUAUUGUACCAUUGUUAUUUAGGUCCAAAAUCGACACUAAAACCCCCCAAGUAGGUCCCACAUAUGAAUAACUUAUUUUUGAGAUCAUCCCAAUGUUCAUACACCAUUAGGCAAUCAUAACCCUCAUGAGUUAGGUAAAAAUCAAGCUUAAUAGGGCUAAAAUAUUUCCUCAAGCUAAUUGGGGUUUUGGACAAAAUUUCAAGAAAUUAAAGCUUUAAAAUAAAGGAUUAUUACCUCAAAUCCGUUGUUAAUCACAAAAAUAUUUGUUAAACAAGCUUCCAAAUUACACUGAAGACUCAAUUUGAAGUUAACAUAUCAUUCUAUGGUUUCUAGUUCUCAAGGAGAGGUGAAAAUGACCCAUUUCAUGACCAAGGAGCCUAUUUAUAGCCUCUCCAGGUAUGAAGGUACCACGAUCACCCUUAAUUGGGUUGCGAUCGCCAUGGCGCAAUCACCAUUAGCAUGGCCGUGGUAUCAUACUCUGGUGCCAACAAGGUCAAAACUUGUUCUUGACCUUUGGAGCUCAUUCGAACUUCAAUUUUCACAAAUAAACUAUGUAACCCCACUAAAUUCAAUGUUUCGGAUGCAUUGGUGAAGUUGGAUUUUCCUCCAAGGUAGUUUAGACCAAUUGUAGUCCCCACACCUAUAUCUUCUGAUUUUUAACUUUUCGAUUAAUAGGUCAAAAUGGGACCCGAACUAAGGGUCUACCUAACCUAAAUUCAACAUUUCAAAGCUACUGGUGGCUAUCAGAAUUUGCAUUUGAGAUUGUGUUAUUGUGGUUUUCUCUCGGUGGCCUUUUAAAAUCAAUGAAGACUUCUAAAUGAGGAAUUGGCUAUACAACCUAGACGAACUGCCCGAUAAACAAACUAUUAGUUCCAACAAGUGAUAAAUGACUUUGGGCCGCUAUGAAAAAUCUCUAACGGUGAAAAUAAUCUGAAUUACAUAAAAUGACCAGAAGAGUCAUUACAACAUCCACUACUAAAAAAUUUUCAUCCUUGAAAGUUAAAGGUUCAGAUAUCUCAAAAAGGUGAGAUUCUGGGUCAGCAUCUCACUCUCGAUCUCCCAAGUGGUCUCCUCCACUAAACCUUAAUUGCACAAAUCUCCCUGGUGUCCAACCGCCUCACAUCACUAGCCAAAAUCAGCAAGGGCUUCUCCACAAAGGUUAAAUGCUCAUUUAACUAGAAUGAUUCCCAUGUAAUCAUAUGAGAUAGAUCAGGAAUAUUCUACCGCAACAUAGAGACAUAGAAAAUUAGAUGAAUAACUGCAAAAUUUAGAGGUAUAGCUAACUCAUAGGACACUUCACCAAUAAUGCUUAGAAUCUCAAAAGGACCAAUAUAUCGAUUACCAAGCUUAACCUUUCUUUCAAACCUCAUCAGACCAUUCAUAGGCAAAAUAUGGAGAAAUACAAAGUCAUCAACUCUGAAUCUCAAGGCACAGAGCCUAUAAUCUGCAUAGUCUUUCUGCCUAGUUUAGGCUGCUCUCAGCCUAUCCUAAAUCACCCUGACUCUAUCCAAUGAGUCUUGAAGCAAAUCUAUACUAUGAGGUGUUGCCUCAAAAGUCUCAAACCAUCUAACUGGAGAGUGAUAUCUCCUACCAAAUAAUGCCUCAUAAGACGCUAUCUCAAUACUCAAAUGAUAGCGGUUGUUAUACACAAACUCUACUAAUGUUAAGUGUUGAUCCCACUGACUUCCAAAAUCCAUAACACAGGAUUGAGGGAUAUCCUAGAGAACUUGAAUAGUUCGCUCAGAAUGACCAUCGAUCUAUGAGUGAAAGGCUGUACUCGAAUCCACUCAAUUACCAAACUUCUCCUUGAAUGCUCUCCAAAACCUCAAAGUAAACACAAAACCAUGGUAAAAAAUUAUAGAAAUGGGCAUCAGAUGCAAACAAACUUUCUCUCGAACAUAGAUAUAGGCUCAUUUCUAAGCACUAAAGGUCAUAUAAAUUGGAAUAAAGUGUGUUUACUUGGUCAAACGAUCAAUAAUAACCCAAAAUUUAUUAAAACCAUGGGAAGUAUGAGGAAACCCACUAAUGAAGUCUAUAGUAAUCUAUUCUCGUUUCCACUUGAGAAUGAGCAACCUUUGAGUUAACCUACCUGGACGCUAAUGCUUGGCCUUUACUUGUUGACAACAUAGGCAAUGAGCUAAAAAGUCUGCCACUUCUCUCUUCAUGCCGUCAUAUAAAUAAUACUAUCUCAAAUAUCUAUACAUCUUGGUUGUAUCAGGAUAAAUGUAAUAUCUAGAGAUGUGAGCCUCAUGCAAAAUCAACUGAAUUAAUUCACCCAUCUAAGGAACACAAAUACAACCCUAAAAUCUCAAAACACUCUCAGAAUCAAUUUGUGUCUCCCGAAAUCACCACUCAACACCUAAUUAUGAAAGAGGCAUCAUUUUCCAUCCUCGUACUGCCAAUCACAAAUCUACUCAAAUAGUGAGGACCUUAUUUCCACACUAGAAAAAAUACUUCUAGGAUUUAAAAUACCAAGGAGAACCAUCAAAUUGGGUAAGGACUAAAGUUCCCGUGCCAAGGGCUUCUGAUAUACUUAUAUACAAGCCAAGCUACCCAUACUUACUGCCUUAUGACUCAAGGCAUCAGCUACCACAUUUGCCUUACCUGGAUGGUACAAGAUAGAAAUAUUAUAGUCCUUUAGCAACUCCGCCUAUCUAUGCUAUCAAGCUUUAACUUCUCACUGGGUUAUAAGAUACUGAAGGCUGCAGUGAUUGGUGAAAUUCUUACAAUGUACCCUAUACAAAUAAUGCCUCCAAAUCUUGAGCACAAAAAAUACCGAUGCAAACUCUAAAUCAUGAGUAGGGUAUUUGUAGUCGUACACCUUAAACUAUUUAGAAGUAUAUACAAUGACAUGACCCUACUGUAUUAACAUAUAUCCGAGACCAAUACCAAAAUCAUCACAAAAUAUGGUGAAUCCCUCACCCUCAACUGAAAGAGAUAACACAGAGGUCGACAUAAGAAAGUCCUUGAGCUUACCAUAGCUUAACUCAUACUCCCCAAACCAUAUGAAAGAAACUUAUUUCUGAGUCACUCUGGUCAUAGGUGCUGAAAUGGUUGUAAAAUGCUCGACAAAGCAUCUAUAAUAACUAGCCAACCAAUGAAACUACGAACCUUGGUAAGAGACGAAGGCCUAGCCUACUCAUAAAUUGCCUCAAUCUUAGUUGGGUCUACCAUGAUACCAGCCUUAGACACCACAUGUCCAAGAAAUGUCACCGACUUAAGCCAAAACCCACACUUGGAGAACUUGGAGAAAAACAAAUGGUCCCUCAAAGUUUAGAGCUUGAUCUUCAAAUGCUGUGCAUGCUCCUCAUUACUCCUCGAAUACAUAAGGAUAUCAUCAAUGAAAAUAAUCACGAAGUAUUUCAAAUAAGGGAUAAACACAUGGUUCAUCAAAUCUAUGAAUGCGGCUGGAGCAUUAGUAAACGUAAAUGACAUCACCAAAAACUCAUAAUUACCAUAAAAGGUCCUGAAAGCUGUCUUUAGGAUAUCCUCAACCAGAAUCCUCUACUAAUGAUAAGAAUACCUUAAAUUAGUCUUAGAAAACACGACCUCACCCUAAAGUUGUCAAAUAAAUCAUCAAUGCAAGGCAUAGGAUAACGAUUCUUCAUCAUCACUUUAUUAAGGUGUCUAUGGUCAAUGUACAUACGCAUGGAACCACAUUUCUUCUUCAUAAAAAAUACAGGAGCUCCCUAUGGGGAUACACUCGGUCUAAUAAAACCCUUACCAAGAACAUCUCUAAGUUGAGAGUUUAUCUCUUUAAGCUCGGUAAGAGCCAUAUAGUAAGGUACUAUAAUAAUAGGUUGGGUGCUAGGCUCAAGGUCAAUAGGAAACUCAAUCUCAUGGAAAGGGGAAAUGCCGAGUAGGUUAGUAGAAAACAUAUUCAAAAACUCACAAAUAACCAUAAUAGAGUCAAGGGGCAGACUCUCCACCUGAGUAUCACAAAUAUAAGUAAGAUAAGAUUUGCAUCCCCUUGCUAAGUAUCUCCUAGAAUGGACAUACGAGAUAAUCCCUGUCGGCUCAGGGCUAGCCACUCACUGCCACUCGACUGGGGGUAUGCUUGGAAUGGCUAAGGUAAUAGUGUUGCCAAAAUAAUCUAUGACCUCAUGAUAGUAGGAUAACCAGUCCAUGCUAAGAAUUACAUCAACAUCUAGCAUAUGAAGAAUAAAAAGAUCAACCCAAGUAUCAACAUCACUAACUAUCACAAUAGAUGAUCUGAAUACUUAAUCUAUUACUAAUGAAUCACCCACGGGAGUAGAUACAAAAAUGUCAAAAAUAAUAAAUCACUAGUCAACUCCAACUGUGGUGUAUAAUAAAUAGAUAUGUAAGAACAAAUGGAUCCUAGAUCAAAUAAAGUAAGAGCCGACUUGCGAAACACCAAAAUCAUACCUGCAACUACAUCAUUCAAAGUCUUUUCCUUGGGUCUAGCAGGUACUGGAUAUAAUUCACCACAUUCGUCACCUGGCUGUGCACCUGACUAACCUCCUAUUUUACCUGCCUGAGUACCACCUCAAGAAUCUUGAUAACCACAUCUAUGACCAUGACAACCAUCUCUACCUGCGAGGUGAGCUACUUUAAUAGGGGAAGCACCCUGGGUGAAAUAACCAUUGCCCCACAACUAGGGAAAUCCCAUAAAUAAUGACCAGGGAGUCCACAAGUAAAACAAAAAACAUGAGCAGAACCAAAACAAACAGAUUUGGCUGACCCAGAAUAACCACCAUACCUAGAAUGAACUAAAAAUAAGCCUUUUGAAGACUAAUCACUGCACUUACCAAGGUGAUCACUAGUGCCAGACUGACGUCCAUCAAUAGUAUAAAAAGCUACCUGAAGUAGCUGACUAGUCUACCACCGAGGCUAAAAAGAUGUAUAUAGAGGAUGCCCAACAUAAGAACUACCACCUCUGAGUAGGGAACUACUACAAAUCCCACCAAAACUUCCAUAAAACAUAGGCCUCUUAUCACGACCCUCACGUGUCUCAUGGUGUAUCUUCUUCAUCAUCCUAGUAUGAUCUAAAAACUCAGCAAAAGUCCUACUAAUAGAAACUAGACUCUUAGUAGCAAUAUAAAUAGGGAAUUUAGACCCUCUAAUAAAGCAGUAAACUCUUUAAUACUUAGUGUCCAAAAUAAAAGACGUAUGCCUGGACAACUUAUGAAAAUAGGCCUCAUACUCAACAACUGUCAUAGAGCCCUACUCUAAUUUGGAGAACUGAUCCCUCAGUCGAUCUCUAAGGAUUCAAAAUACACUUGUCCAAGAAUUUCCUAUAGAACUGAGUUUAUGAUAUGGUAGAAUAUCCAAUUGAUCUAGAAUCCAUAAAAUCUCCCCACCAAUGAUGAACAAGCAAAUCUAAUUAAAAUAUGGUGUAAUCCACACCAGGAGUAUCAACAAGGACUAAAUCACGAGCCUAUCCUCACAUGAAGUCAAAAACUCAUACACAUCAUUGCCUGGAGCAUCGGGAAAUCUAGAAGAAGACAACCUCAAGAAUCUACCUAACAUCUUCUGCUCCUCAGAAGACAUAUAAGGCUGGGUCAUCACUGGAUGAACAACUAUCAACUAAACUACUACCGACGCAGGAGAAACCUUAACUCUAGGUGCUAUAAAUACAGGCUGCACCCCUACCUCAGUAGCACUCUGAUCAGUAGAUUGUGCAUAAUUAAAUGAAACACCAAUAAUAAUAACUGAUAAUUAAUUAAAUCAAGGUAUAUCUAUGCAAUGAAGAAUUAAUAAAACCUAGUGGAGCCUGGGCUGGUCCCUGUCCUACCACUGGCUUUGGUGGAGGAAUCUCUGGCUCAGGUGUUUGAAAGGGUUUGGAAAAGGUGGCCUAUCCUGGUAUGUAGAUGGGGACACAUCAUGUGGCUUCCCUCGACCUUUAAGUAAUCCACGAUUAGGAAAAGAAUGUCGAGCUCGAUCUCGAUAGCCUCAUAUUGCAUAGAGGUAGCACGUGUCUUGGGCAUCCACGAAAGAGUAAAAUCAAGGGAAUAUUUACAAACCAAGUCAAAAUCUUCACACAAUAUAAGUGAAAGAAGUGAAGAACUCCUAAGAAUGUCCUAUAACCUUCCAAUGAUAGAAAAAGAUGCCAACGCUCCGAUUCACAGGACUUUAUCUUGCUCUUGUACCAAUAAUAUUGAUGAAACCUAGGCUCUAAUACAAAUUUGUCAUAAACAGAUUUAUAAGUCAUGGUGGCAUGCCCUAUAAACUGCUAGUGGGUAAGCCAAUACAUUAACCUAAAGCUAGCGCAAUGAUUUAAUUAGGUAAGAAAUGCCCAACUAGGCUAAAAAAACAAAGAACAUAAGAUAUACAUUGUAAGAUCCCGCAAAAUUUCUAAGCUUAAAUAAGUCCUUUAAGAUUGUCAAGGGGUUUCCGUACUUAAAAAAUUCUAGCUAAGUUCUUAGACUUAGUUGAUUUUUUGCCUUCAAAAGUUGCUAAUCUCAUUUUACCAUAUUAAUGUUCUUUAAUGGUCCGUAUUUUUGUUAAUUCAUGAUUAGAGAGGUCAAUAGGUGUUUCCAAACAAGUUUUGGAUUUUUCGGACCUCAUUUAGACCAUAUUUGAUGUCCCAAAAUAGUAGACCAAUGCAAUCUUGGUGCGCCGCAUCGCCUAUUGCAUUGGUUAAUAUUGUUGUAGGGACUGCUAGAGAAGCUACUAAGGUUUGACACGAUUAUGGUGUGACACAUCGGGUAUCGUAUCAAUGUAUCAACAUACCAUGUCGCUAAUUGCAUCAAUAUCCUUUUUCAGUCAUUAAAUGUCUAUGUUUUAAGGGCAAAAGGGUCAAUUUUCCACCCCUACAUUAGCCUAUAACACAAGAUUCAACCCAUAUUUCACCAAAAUAUUAUUUAUACUCUCAAAUACUCUCAAGAAAAAGUCUAGGGUUUUUAUAGGAGCUUCAAAUUCAAGAGAUUCUACCAUUAGUUUUCAAGAAUUUUCCAUUCAAGUUAUGUCAAGUGUUCAUUCAUGGAUUCUUUUCACCAUGAUGCCCAUGAAUCCAAUUUUAAAUUAUGAAUUGUGAUGUUUAUGUUGUGGAUUGAUUAUGCUCAUGUAGUUAUUGUUGUAGGAUUCCCAAGUUGGAAUCUUUAUAUGUUGUUCAUGAAACUACGAGUAUGUGGGUUGAAAUUUAUAAAAUUGAGUUGAAUUAGGAAAUUAUGUGGUAUUAAUUUGAUAUCAUGACUAAGCCUUAACUUAUGCAUACAAGGUGUUUGAAAAAAUGCAUAAGACAAUAAUACUUGUGCAUUAUGACUCAACAGAACCUAAAUGAUGAAUUCAUGUUACCAUUAUGUUCAAAAUGAUUCCCAUGCUAUUGUUAUGCCUUGUAGUAGAUUGAUGUAAUGCUCAUGAGAUUAGGCUUUGGGAAUUAUGACAUGUUUAUAUGAAUUCUUAUUCAUGUGAAAGCUUGUCGUAUACAAAUACUUCAUAAAAAUCCCCAAUGAUAGUACUAUGAAUUGUAGACCAUGGUUAUGUGUUCAUGAAGUGUCAUGUCUUGUCAGUUUCAUACUAUUGAGUCCUGGGGGUACUUGUACCCAAUAACUUAGCUGUGUGCCUUGAGCCAGUAUCGGUUUUAUGAUAAAUCUCAGUCACACCAUGAUUAGUAGUAUUCUUAGUUAGAUUCAGAACUCAGUAGAAUUCAGUCAGUUACAUGACUUAGGAAAACUCAGUAAUCUCAGUCAGUUAUCAAAUCUCAAUAGCAUUCUAUCAGUUAACAAAACUCAAUAAACUCAGUCUAGUUUAGUUCAUUUAAUCAUGUUCAGUGUCUAUUCAGAUGGGAGUAGGAUUCAUCACCGAGUGAGCCCAAGGAUGGGAACUCACCUAUUAGUUGAGGGUGUGAUUCUUAGAAGCAAUCCUUGUGCUAUAGAACUACAUAGCUAAUAUAGGUUGAGACAUCAAACCUGCUAGUUCAGGGUAUAUAAGGUGCCUUAACCUGUUAUGUGAGGGUCCCGCUAUUCUCUUUAUAGUACUUGUUAGAUGAGGGAUUUCUCACAACUUAUCCUUACUAGUGGCGCGGUAUUGACACCCUUCCAACUGGGGUUAUAGGUUGGACCCUAAAUCUAUUUAGAAAAAAGGGCAUGUCAGUUAGAUGAAUUCUUCUACAGUUUUAGUUAUAGAAUCAGGACUGUCAGAUAAAGUCACCAAGUUUUAGUAAUAGAACUUAGAUAGUUCUACAAAACCCAAGACUAUUAGAUACAGUCACUUAGCUAGUUCCAUUAGAACCUAGACUAUUAGACAUAGUCGCCUAGUAUCAGUUAUCAGUAACUCAUAUUAUCAAUAUUCAGACUAGUCUGUAUUACUAACGAAUCCAGUUACAAAACACUCAUCUAUGUAUUCUCACGAUCAUGUUAUAUAGUUAGUUAGCAUUGUUCAUGCAUAUGAACCCUUUGUAUCAGGCUACCUCACUUGCAUACCAGUAUAUUCAAUCGUACUGACGUAUUUGCACUAUGGUGUUUUUACCAUAGGUUCAGAAACAUGAGUUCUAGAGCAUCAGUAGCAUUCCAGUUUCAGCAGUCAGAGUCAGUAGUGAGUCCUCAUCAUUUAAGGAUGUUAUGAUUUGGUUAUUUCAUAUCUUUAGUACUUAGCUAUUUUAGCAGUUGGAGUUAGUUGGGGAUAUGUCCCAUCAACUCCUUAUUCAGACAAUCUAAAUGCUUUCAGACUAUAGCAUGUUCACAAUAAUUUCAUUUGUUUUGGUAAUGAUGUACCAUAUUUCCAGAUGCUAUUUUUUAUCAUAUAUUUGAACCUUAUGGCCUUUUAGCCUUUAAUUCCAAUUUUUACAUCAUUUUAUGAAGUGCUCAGUUAUAGAUAUCAGUCAUGGGCUUGCUUGUGGUCCUUCAAGGUCAUGAGCACCAUGUAGUAUUUCGGGUACUAGAUUCAGGGUGUUACAAACUUGGCAUCAAAGCCUAAGGUUCAAUAGCAUCAUAGGAAGUCUGAAAGCCGCAUCUAAUAGAUUCUUUUGCAUGGGUGCGUUACAUGCCAGAUUUAUGUACAGGAGGCUGUAAGAUGUAUUAGGAGCAAUUUUCUUUAUUUUAGUAUUCAUAUCAUACAGUGAGCAUGAGCUCAAGUUUAACACUUAGUCUAAUUCGUUUCUCCCUUUCUUCUACAGAACAUGUCUCCCAAGAGAAAAAACGGGAAUCAGUCAGCCCGUCAGCCCAUCCAAAUAGAUCCCUUGGAUGAAUAUAUUUCUCAUGCAGAGUUCAGAGCUAUAUUCACUACUCUUUCUAGCUCAGUUGCUUCCCAGAAUAAAUGACCAGCUAUCUUUCCACCCAACCCAAUGGCUAACACCACAGCUUCUAGGAUUUGGGACUUCACUCGAAUAAAUCCACCAUUCUUUUUUGAGUCUAAGUCAAAUAAGGAACCUCAGGAAUUCUUUGAUCAGAUUCAAAAGGUUAUAGAUAUCAUGGGGGUGUAAGCUGUUGAGAGUGAUGAGCUAGCUACAUAUCAGUUAUAAGAUAUGGCUCAUAUAUUGUUCAAACAGUGAAAAGUAGAGAGGGAUAGUGACACAGGGCCUAUAAAGUGGGAGGAGUUUGCCACUUUUUUUCUUGAUAGAUUCUAUCCCCUAGAGCUGAGGGAAGCUAAGGUGCUAGAAUUUAUCAACCUCAGAAAGGAAAAUAUGACAGUGAAAGAGUAUUCUUUUAAGUUUAUUCAACUAGCUAGAUACACUCCUCUUGUAGUGACAGACAAUAGGGCUAAGAUGAGUAAGUUUGUUUAUGGGGUGAAUGAUAGUGUGGUCAAUGAGUGCAGAUCUACAAUGUUGAUUAGUCAGAUGGAUAUAGCCAGGGUUAUGAUCUAUUGUCAACAAAUUAAAGAGAAGAAUAUUAAGCUGAGAGAGAAGUAGAAUAAGAGAACAAGGACAAGUAGUUUCAACUUUGCUCAGCCUAAGUCAGAGGGUGAAAGUCAUUCUCAAUUCUUCCCAAAGUUAUCCAUUCUAGAUCCUUGCUCAGCCAGUGCUCCAGUACCAAAAUUUAGAGACAACAACAUAGAUAGGGGUCCAGGCUCUAAGGCUCAGGGCUGUGUUAGCGGUGCCCAAACCUAUCCUCUUUGUUAGACAUGUGGCAAGAUCCAUCAGGGUACUUGCAGAGCUGGCAGUGAUGUUUUCUUUAAAUAUGGAAAGCUAGGACACAGAGUAAGAUAUUGUCCUCAUCUAGGUCCUCAGGGUCAACGUAUCAGUUUCUCAGCUCAGUCUACUCACCCAAAUCAGUAGGGUGUCACUUCCAGUGCUACCAGUGGGCAACGCCCAAAUAGACUCUACGCCCUUUAGUCCCAAUAAUAUCAUGAAAAUUCUCUUGAUAUGGUCACUGGUACGUUAUAGAUCUUUUAUUUACAUGUUUACUCUUUGCUAGAUCUAGGAGCUUCUUUUUCUUUUAUUACUCGUUAUAUAUUAGUUGAUUUCAGAGUCAGUCCCAAAAUUCUAGUAGAGCCCUUCUUAAUCUCCACCCAAGUGGGUAAAACAAUUAUAGCCUGACAGGUAUACAAGAACUAUCUGAUUAUGGUAUCUUAGAAGGUCACUUUAACGGACUUAGUCAAAUUAGAUAUGACUAAUUUUGAUGUCGACAUGGAUUAGCUUUAUUCCUGCUAUGCCAUUAUCGACUGUAGAAAUAAAAUUGUCCUUUUUUAGUUUUUGAAUGAACCUCUCCUAGAGUAGAGAGGUAGUACUUCAAUUUCCAAAGGUCAGCUUAUUUCCUAACUUCAGGUAUGGAAAAUAAUAUCAAAGUGAUGUGUCUAUCAUCUUGUUCGAGUUAAAGACUCUAGUUCUGAAACUCCUAAUUUCUAAUCAGUCCUAGUAGUGAAUGAAUAUUUAGAUGUCUUUCUCGAAGAUCUUCUAGGAAUUCCUCCCGAAAGGGAAAUAAACUUCAGUAUUGAUCUUCUUCCAGAUACUCAGCCUAUAUCUAUUCUGUCAUAUAGAAUAGCACCAGAAGAACUUAGAGAAUUGAAAGAACAGUUGAAGAAUCUCCUAGAUAAGGGAUUCAUCAGAUCCAGUGUAUCCCCAUAGGGCGUACCAGUUUUAUUCAUACGAAAGAAAGAUGGUUCUCAUAGAAUGUGCAUUGAUUACCGCCAACUCAAUAAAGUCACGGUCAAGAACAAGUAUCUACUUCCUAGAAUAGAUGAAUUGCUUGACCAACUUCAGGGUACCAGCUAUUUCUACAAGUUAGAUCUCAGAUAAGGCUAUCAUCAGCUCAGAGUCAGAGAAUGUGACAUUCCAAAAAUAGCCUUUUGUACCCGGUAUGGUCACUUCAAAUUCUUAGUUAUGUCCUUUGGUCUUACCAAUACCCCAGUAGUUUUCAUAGACAUGAUGAAUCAUGUGUUUAAGUAGUACUUGGAAAUGUUCGUUAUAGUCUUUAUAGAUGACAUCCUUGUUUACUCCCACAGUGAGCGUGAUCAUGCAGAAUAUCUCAGAAUAGUAUUGUAGACUCUUAGAAAUCAUCAGUUGUUCGCCAGAUUUAGUAAGUUAAAAUUUUGGCUAAGGUCAGUAGCAUUCCUUGGACAUAUCAUUUUUGGUUAUGGCAUUAGAGUUAAUCCUCAAAAGAUCGAAGUAUUAAGAAACUGUCCUCACCCUUUAUCUCCAUCAGAUAUCAGGAGUUUCUUAGGUUUGGAUGGCUAAUAUAGACUAUUUGUUGAGGGAUUAUCUUCUAUUGCAUCCCCUAUGUCUAGAUUGACUCAGAAAAAAGUCAAGUUUUAGUGGUCAGAUCCUUGUGAUAAGAAUUUUCAGGAGUUGAAAACUCGACUCAAGUUAGCUCCAGUUUUAGCUCUUCCAGAUGGUACAAAUAGGUUCAUAGUUUAUUAUGAUGUAUCCAGAGUAGGUUUGGGUUAUUUCCUCAUGCAUCAUAGUAAGGUCAUAGCCUACGCCUCUAGAUAGCUUAAACCCUAUAAGAAGAAUUAUCCUACUCAUGAUCUUGAGUUAGCAACCAUAGUUUUUUCCUUACAGAUUUGGAGGCAUUACUUGUAUACUGUUCAUGUAAAUGUGUUCACAGAUCAUAAAAUCCUUCAGUAUGUCUUUUCUCAGAAAGAUCUUAACCUUCCUCAGAGAAGGUGGUUAGAGCUCUUGAAAGAUUAUGAUAUGAGUGUCUUUUAUCUUCCAGGAAAGGCCAAUAUAGUGGCAGACGCCCUUAGUAGAUUGUCUAUGGGUAGUGUUGCUCAUGUUGAGGAUAGUAAGAAGAAGUUAGAUCAGGAAGUCCAUCGACUUACCAGACUAGGUGUCCACCUAAUUGAUUCAGCAGAAGGUAGUAUAUAGGUUCAGAAUCAUCUCUAGUUUCUGAGGUAAAAGAAAAACAGGAUAGAGAUCCCAAUCUAAUCAAGUUGAAAGAAUUCGUCAAAGAUAAAAAAGUAGAGGUUUUCUCCCAAGGGGGUGAUAGUGUUUUGCAUUGUCAGGGUCGUCUUUGUGUGCAAGGUGUAGAUGAACUGAGGCAAUGAAUUCUUGCAGAAGUGCAUGGUGCACGCUACUCUAUUCAUCCAGGGGCCAUUAAGAUGUUCCCCGACUUGUGGGAGAUCUAUUGGUGGAGUGGGAUGAAGAAAGAUAUUGUAGAGUUUGUGGCUAAGUGCUCUACAUGUCAGUAGGUUAAGAUAGAGCAUCAGAAGCCUAGUGGGUCCAUACAGGAGUUCGGUAUUUCUACUUAGAAGUGGAAAGAAGUGAAAUAGACUUAAUGAUAAGUUUGCAUACCUCUUAUUUAGCCGAGGAUUAUGCCAAACUCUAUAUCAGGGAGUUGGUUAGAUUACAGGGUGUUUCAUUGUCCAUUAUUUUAGAUAGAGGUACCCAGUUCACCUCUCACUUCUGGAAAUCAUUCCAAAAGGGUCUUGGUACCCAAGUUUAUCUCAGUACAACCUUUCAUCCCUAGAUAGAUGGUCAAGAAGAAAGGACCAUUCAAACUUUAGAAGAUAUGCUACGAGCAUGUGCAAUUGAUUUCAAGGGUAGUUAUGAUGAUUACUUACCUUUGAUUGGUUUGCAUAAAACAGAAACUAUCAUUCCAGCUUUGGAUGGCUCCAUUCGAAGCUUUCCAUGGUAUGGGAUAUAGAUCUCCAAUCGUUUGGUUUGAAGUUAGUGAGGCGUCAAUUAUAGGGCCUCACAUAGUAUUUGAUGCCUUAGAAAAAGUCCAGUUGAUUAGAGAAAUACUUCAGGCUGCUCAGAGCCAAUAAAAGUCUUAUAUAGAUGUGUGCAGAAUGGAUCUCGAGUUCAAGAUUGGUGACUAUGUUUACCUAAAGAUCUCUAUCAUGAAGGGAGUGAAGAGAUUCGACAAGAAAGGAAAGCUCAGUCCCCGAUAUGUCGGUCUCUUCAAAAUUCUCAGUCGUUUUGGCAAGGUAGCUUAUGAGCUCGAAUUGCCUUCAGAUCUAGCCUCAGUUCAUCUAGUGUUCCAUGUCUCUUUUCUCAAGAAGUGCAUAGGUAACUCAUCAGUUGUAGUCCCUAUAGAGGGCAUUGAUGUUCAGAAUAGCCUCUCUUAUGAAGAGAUUCCAGUCAAAAUUCUUGACUACCAAACACAUAGACCGAGGAACAAAGAAGUCUCUCUAGUCAAAGUCCUUUGGAGAAAUCAGUCCAUUGAGGUAGCUACUUGGAAAAUAGAAGCAGAUAUGCAGACCAAGUAUCCUCACCACUUUUUUGCUAAUUCAGACUCAGCCCAAGGUAAAAGUUUUCCUUAAUCUUGGUUAGUUAUCAUGUUCAGUUCUCUUACCAACUUGGUAUUCAGUUUUAUGCUCAAAAUUUUAUUAUAAACUUGGUAUCAAAUACCAUUGCAUAAUUAGUCAUAUGUCCAUGCAUCAUGUCCGUUAUAUAUUCAUGCAUCAGAUAUGCAUCCUUAUUAUGAGAAACUCAGCUUAUUAGAAAUCUCAGUCAUGCAUUCAUGAAUUAGUUACGCAUGCACCAGAUAUGCAUGUUUAGUAUGACAUAUUCAGUUUAUCAGUAAUGAAAUUAUGUUUCAUUUACUCAUAGCCUAUACAUACUUUAGUUUGUAUUUUCCCUAUCUCAGUCAGUCUCAUUCGAGGAUGAAUGUUCUCAAGGGGGAGAUAUUGUAAGACCCCACAAAAUUUCUAAGCUUAAAUUAGUCCUAUAAGCUUGUAAAGGGUUCCCAUACUUAGAAAAUUCUAGCUAAGUUCUCAGACUUAGUUUAUUUUUGUCAUUCAAAAGUUGGAAAUCUUAUUUCGCCACCUUAAUGUCCUUUAAUGGUCCGUAUUUUUGUUAAUUCAUGAUCAGAGUGGUCAAUAGGUGUUCCCAGACAAGUUUCAAAUAUUUUGGACCUCGUUUAGACCAUUUUGGUGUCCCAAAAUAGUGGACCAAUGUGAUCUUAGUUUGCCGCAUCGCCUAUCGUGUUGGUUAACAUUGUUGUAGGGACUGCCAAAGAAACUACUGAGGCUUGGUGUUCUCAUGGCACAAUGCAUCGAGUAUUGUGUUGAUGCAUCGACACGCUGUGUUUCCAAUCGUGUCGAUGUCCAAUUUUCAGUCAUUAAAUGUCUGUGUUUUUAAGGGAAAAAGGGUCAAUUUCCCACCCCUAUAUAUGCCUAUAUCAUGAGAUUCAACCCUUAUUUCACAAAAAUAUUAUUGUUACUCUCAAAUACUCUCAAGAACAAGUCUAGGGUUUUCAUAGGAGAUUCAAAUUCAAGAGAUUCUACCGUUAGUUUUCAAGAAUUUUCCAUCCAAUGUAUGUCAAGUGUUCAUUCAUGGAUUCCUUUCAUCCAUGAAGCCCAAGAAUUCAAUUUUAAAUUAUGAAUUGUGAUUUUUAUGUUGUGGAUUGAUUAUGCUCAUAUAGUUAUUGUUGUAGGAUUCCCAAGUUGGAAUCUUUAUGUGUUGUUCAUGAAACUAUGCUAGUAUGUGGGUUGAAAUUUAUGAAAUUAAGUUGAAUUAGGGAAUCAUAUGGUAUUAAUUUGAUAUCAUGCCUAAUCCUUAAGUUAUGCAUACUAGGUGUUUGAUAAAAUGCCUAAGAUAAUAAUUGUGCAUUAUGACUCAACAAAACCUAAAUGGUGAAUUAUGUUACCAUUAUAUUCAAAAUGACUCCCAUGCUAUUGUUAUGCCUUGUAAUAGAUUGAUGUAAUGCUCAUGAGAUUAGGCUAAGGGAAUUAUGACAUGUUUAUAUGCAUUCUUAUUCAUGUGAAAGCUUGUCAUAUGCAAAUACUUCAUAAAAAUCCCCAAUGAUAGUACUAUGAAUUAUUGUCCAUGGUUAUGUGUUCAAGAAGUGUCAUGUCUUGUCAGUUUCAUACUAUCGAGUCCUGGGGGUACUUGUACCCAACAACUUAGCUGUGUGCCUAAAGCCAACGCUAGUUUCAUGUUAAAUCUCCGUCAUGCCAUGAUUAGUAGUAUUCUCAGACAGUUUCAGAACUCAAUAGAAUUCAGUCUGUUACAUGACUCAGGAAAACUUAGUAAUCUCAGUAAUCUCAGUCAGUUAUCAGAUCUCAAUAGCAUUCCAUCAGUUAACGAAACUCAAUAAACUCAGUCUAGUUCAGUUAAUCAUAUUCAGUAUCUAUUCAGAUAGGAGUAGGAUUCAACAUCGAGUGAGCCCAAGGAUGGAAACUCACCUGUUAGUAGAGGUUGUGAUUCUUAGAAGCAAUCCUUGCACUCCAAAACUACAUAGCCAGCAUAGAUUGAUACAUCAAACCUGCUAGUUGAGGGUAGAUGAUGUGUCUUAACUUUUUAUAAGAUGGUCCCACUGUUCUCCUUAGAGUACCUGUUAGACGAUGGAUUUCUCACAACUUGUCCUUACUAGUGGCGCGGUAUUGACACCAUUCCAACUGGGGUUACAGGUUCGACCCUAAACCUAUUUUGAAAAGAGGCAUGUUGGUUAGAUAAAUUUUCCUAUAGUUUAGUUACAGAACCAGGACUGUUAGAUACAGUCACCCAGUUUUAGUAAUAGAACUCAGAUAGUUCUACAAAACCCAAUACUAUCAGAUUCAGUCACUCAGCUUAGUACGGAACUCAGCUAGUUCUAUCAGAACCUAGACUAUCAGACACAGUCACCCAGUAUCAGUUAUAUUAGUUAUAUCAGUUAUCACUAACCCAUGUUAUCAAUAUUUAGACUUAGUAGUCAGUAUUACUCAUGAAUCUAGUUAUAGUUACACACUCAUGUAUAUAUUCUCACGAUCAUGUUAUACAGUCAGUUAGCAUUGUUUAUGCAUAUGAGCCAUUUGCAUUCAGCCUACCUCACUGGCAUACCAGUACAUUCAAUCGUACUGAUGCAUUUGUGCUAUGGUGUUUUUAUACCAUAGGUUCAGAAGCACGAGCUCCAGAGAAUCAGUAGCAUUCCAGUUUCAGCAGUCAGAGUUAGCAGUGAGUCCUCAUCAUUCGAGGAUAUUAUGAUUUGAUUAUUUCAUAUCUUUAGUACUUUGUUAUUUCAUUAGUUGGAGUUAGUUGGGGAUAUGUCCCAUCAACUCCUUAUUCAGACAGUCUAGAGGCUUUCGGACUAUAGCAUGUUCAUAGUUAUUUUAGUUGUUUUGGUAAUGAUGUACCACAUUUCCAGAUGUUAUGUUUUAUCAUAUAUUUGAAACUUUUGGCCUUUAAGCCUUUAAUUUAGCAUUUUUACAUCAUAUUAUGCAGUGCUCAGUUACAGAUAUCAGUCAUGGGUUUACUUGUGACCCUUUGGGGUCAUAAGCACCAUGUAGCAUUUUGGGUACCAUAUUCGGGGCGUUACAUACAUAGACAAUGUUCUAGUAUAAAAGGAUAACCAAAAAUGGAUACCAAUCCUACGACUGGGCAUAAUCAGUACAAUAGAAUCAUAAUUUGAUAGAAAUAGGAAUAAAACCCAAGCUAAUACAAAAGAUUGAAUAAAUGAUAGAAGGAAAUGAGCAACUCAAAACUCUAAGAGCUCACCUUAUCUUCGUAAUGUCAACACCGCACGAACUUGACUCAAUAGCGGCAGCUAGUACUUAGGUAUGCACCAAAAGAGUACAUAAGGGUAGUGUAAGUACCAAAACAAUGGGUACUCAAUAGGUAUCAUCGGCCAAUUGAGCUAAAUUAUAAUAUAAAAAUGAUAUAGUGCAAGAUAAACAUAUCUAAGUCAAGGUACAAAAUGGAACCUAAAUCAUCUCCAUCGCCAUUGUAUAUAGUAAGUAAUCAAACUAGAAUAAUAAUUACACAAAGCAUCAUCCUACACAAUAUCAUUGUGCAUUGGAAAUAAAUUACUCAAAGUCAUAAAGUUACACGAGUGCAAUAACAAGAAGAACAAGUACAAAAAAAAGCAACACAAGUACAAAGUUGGUGCCUAUACACCAACUAAUGCAUAAAAUAAAGAAACCCAUCACUGCAUCCCAUACCACCGGAGAGUACACCCAAGAAAAUAAUACAAUACAAUUAUUUAACCAAUAUUGCAUCUAAAUCUCAUCAUUAUUUGACCAUAUUCAAUUCUAUGCUAUUAGCAUAAUUAGCCAUAUAUUAACCAAUUCACUAACUAUCAUAUUUUAGCAAAAUAAGAGUCAUUAAGUAGUCCAUGUAAUUUCUAACCAUAAACUAAUCUAUUCAUUUAAUAGACAAAUCACAAAGCUUAUUCCAAUAGUCAACAUAUAUUAAUUAACCCUUAUUUGACACUAACAUUACUCACUAGAUGGAUCCUUAUUUUAUAACUAGUUCAAACUUAUUAACUAGUGUUGUUUCCUUAUUUAACAACAACCAUCACAAUCCCUUAAUUACCAUUAAUAUUUGAAUACUUCUAUUUAUAAGUAUUCAAUACUAGUAAUCUAUAUUCGGCACCCCAAGUUCAAAAUUAUACUCUCAUUUCAUACGUAGAGGUACACAUAAAAAAAUAUGUAUAUAUUUGCCAUACAUAGGGCUAGCCAGAAAUUGAACCAGUUGGUGCACUCAUGGGCACAUUAAUAAUCAUCCUCUAACCUUUUUGGGUAUCAUAAUAUUAUAAUCAUAUCCCCCAACCUCAUGGGCAUCAUCAGAUUAAUAUAUCCUCUGGCCUUAUCGGGUAUCAUCAUUAUAUCAAUAUAUCCUCCAGCCUUACAAGGCAUCAUCAUCACCAAAAUAUAUAUUUAUAUAUAAAUCAAUAAUAAAUGACAAGCCCCACGAGUUAUAAAGUAAAUGAUAAGCCCUACGAGGGCUUAAGUAAAUGACAAGCCUCAUGAGGGCUAAAAUAAAAGAGAAGUAAGGAAUAGCAUACCUUCAUAUCUCAUUAUUUGUCAUCAAGGACAAUUUAUCCAUAAGUAUAUGAAUAUAUAUAUGGCAUAAGUAUCAUAAAACAUUUCUGUAUUCAACGUAUUUAGUAGCAUAACCUCUCAUGAAGUCAAUAUUUAUGCCUUCUAGAGCCCUGAAUAUCAUGACUCACAAUAUUAGAAACAAGAGGGCUUUCUAGAAAAAGAAAUAGUUUCUUUACCAGAUAAAGCAUAAAAUGAGUAAUAUCAUAGCCCAAGCUAAAUAAUAGUCUAGUCAAUGGUUCAUGUGAUAACAUAUUCACGGGCUCAAUUAAUAACAUACUCCAUAGCUUCUCAUAACAUUAAUAAUAAGUUAUCCAAUAACCAAAUACAUCACUUAUAAUGCAAGCACCAUAGUUGUAAGACCCCACAAAUUUCUCUCAUAGUCUGAGCCUUAAAGCGUACCAAGUGAAGCAUAAAUCAGGUCUAAAAAGGUUGAGAAGUGUCUUACCAAGUGAGAAAUAUUUUAAACCAUAUAUAAUAUACCUAAUAUCGACUUUUUUUCAUGUAGAGAAUUGAAUAAUAUUUCCAUCGAUACCAAUUUUUUCAAAAUUCAAAAUCGAAUGAGGAAGUUAUGGCCGUUUUAUUGAAAAUAGUCAGAACCGCCCAGGUGCGACGCCCGGAUUGACAGAUCGUUGAUCUUGUGAUGGACCGUUUCCCAUCCCAUCACAACCAAGGAAUUGACGCCCAAGUUCAAUGGCUAGGAUGAUGGACCAUCGAGGCUAUGAUGGAGCGUCACACUGAGGCAGUGUGGCCUCAUCCUGGCCAACUGCGAUAGAUGAUCAACAGACUGUCGGGUUUGUGAUGGAUCGUCGGGUUUAUGAUGGACCAUUAUUGAGACCAUUGCAUUGAGGCAGUGUGUUCUUUUUCCAACCGAUGUGAAAUGGAUGAUCCGAUGAACCAUCAGACUGAGCGACGGAUCGUCACUUCGGCCGUCGCAGACCCCGUUCAAUAUUUUUAACUCAUUUUUAAAAGGGCUUUUUGGUCCCUUUUUCACUCUUUUUAGACCCUAUUUAUAUCCGAUCAAGGCUCACAACUUCAUUUAUCAUCUUCAAUAUCAAAAACUAGGGUUUCUACAAAAGCAAAACUCUUUCUUCUUUCUCAAGAAAAAUUAGGAGAAAUCAAGAAAGCAAGAAUCUUUCCAUGAGCUUUUAAGAAAGAGUUUCUCUAAGGUAUGUAGAUAUUAAUUAUUGGGCCUCUUUUAUCCAAGAAGCUCAAGAACCCUUUUCUAAAUUUCAAAGCUUAUAUGUUUAUGAGUUUUCAUGAUUCAUGUGAGUUGAAAUUGAUGUUCAUACUAUUAUUGAGUUUUCCUUCAUGUUUGUUUGCAAGGUUUUCAAGCUUUGACCCUAGUAUGUGAUAUUCAUGAUAAACCCUCUUCAAGUUGCUUGUUAAGUGAUGUGCUCAUGUCAAUUAAGUGAAGAAAAUUGUUGAAUAAGCAAAGCAUGCUCCCCAUAUGUUUGAUAAAAUGCUUAUGUGAAGGAAUUAGAGCCAUUAUAGCAUGUUGACUAGAAAUCCCCAAUUGUGUGCAAGUGAAAAGACUUAGUGACUGAAUUAUGACAUGAUAGCAUGAAAUUUCCUAAUUAUGUUUUAUUUGAUACAUGCUAAGACUUUAAUACAUGCCAAGUGUUUGAUGCAAGACCUUGUUGAAUGGAGUAUGAUCCAAUAGCAUGUGCCCCUAUGUUAUUACAUGUUUAGGAUUCCUAAAUGCUAGAAGUGAUGCCUUAGUGAUUGUGAUGGUGAAUGAUUGUCCAUGGUCUUGAUUAUUGAAGAAUAUUAAUGUUUUACUUUUAUGUUAUCGAGUCCUGAGGGUAUUUAUACCCGACAAUUUAGUUGUUGUCUAGAGCCCAUGUCAGUUUUCACAAUAAUUCUAAUCGAUCCAUAAUUCUCAGAACUCAGUGAGUUAUAGAAAUCUAUAUUCUCAGAUAGAUAUAGAACUUAAGAAAUCUCAGUAAUCUCUGUAAUCCCGUAAUCUCAGUAUCUCUAGUAAUCUAGCCUCAGUUCUGUACCCAGCUUGGACCUAGUAGUAUUCAAGUGUUCAGUAUUGACCUCUGUAGUAAUCGAGUACUCUAUUCAAAGCUCAGUGUCAUUCAGUUAGAUAACAAGAUUUAGUAUUACUCCGUCAGAUACAGAACCAAGUGAAUUCAGCUUAAAUCAGUCAGAUCAUUUGAGAAAUAUGAUCCAUAUCAGAUUUAGCUUAGUUUGUGUUCAGUUAAGAAUUAGUUUAGAGUAUUUCAGUUGGGAGUAGGAGUUAGCACCGAGAGAGGACAGGGAUAGAGGCUCCCUAUCAGAGAGGCAAAGUCUUUAGGAGAAAUUCUUGAACUCUAAAACUACAUAGCCAACGGAAGAUGCAGGAGUCACCCAUUAGGAAAGGCUGGUCACCCGUCAGAUAGGCUUGACUAUUAUAUGCCUUAGGCUUGACUACCUGUAAGGGUCACCCAUCAGAUAGGCUUCCCCAGAGAGGUCGUUAUCCAUGGCAUGGUAUUGACACCCUUCUAGUUGAGGUUACAGGUUGGACCCCACCAGUUGAGAUUCGGGGCAUGUCGGUUAAGUUACUACUUCCCACAGUUACAAUUUUAGUAUAAAUCUUCAGAAAUCAGGAUUGUAAGAUAUAGUUAUCUAUUUAAGUAAGGAACUCAGAUAGUUCCAUUGAUUCAUGGAUUACCCAUCAGAUAGGCUUGGUCCCAUAUAAAGUUAUUCAGUAUCAGAUCUAGAUAUCACCCGUCACAUAGGCUUGAUCUCAGUCUUAGAUUGAUUUGAGUAUUCUUGUUAUCAUAUCUAUAAAUCACCCGUCAUAUAGGCAUGAUCUCAGUCUCAGAUUCAGUUGAGUAUUCUUGUGUCCAGAUUCAAACAUAAUCUUUUCUUAUCAUUGAUAGUAGAUUUUGGAAUCAUCCGUUAGAUAGGUUUGAUCUCUGAUGCAGUCAGUCGAGAGUAGAAAGCUCAAAGUUCAUUUAAUAACAUGAGUAUAUUUAGUCAAUCAGCUUCAUUAUCCUCAAAUUUCUAGAUCACUUGCUAGAUAAUACUGAUCUCAACUUUAGUACUCAGUUAUCGAUAUUAGAUGAUUCAGUUGUUCAGUAUCACAGUAUUUGUAGUGAGUUUAGAUGAUAGUAAUGCAAUAUCCGAGUUUCAGUAUUCAGAGUCGUGAUGGUUGUAGUUAUGGUUUGUGCAUUCUUGCAUGUGUUCUAAUUCAGUAGUCUCAUGAUUAUUCAGUUAAGUAAUUGUUCAUACAUAAGCCCUUGCAUUUAUCCUUACCUUAUCUUUAUUCUCAGUACAUUCCCGUACUGAUGCAUUUGCACUAUGGUGUUUUAUUUCACACUAUAGGUUUAGAGGUACAAGAUCCAGAGUACCCUUAGCAGCUCAGUCCCAGUCAGCAGCAGUAGAUAUAACAGUGAGUCCUCUUCAGUCGAGGAUGAUCCUUAUUUUUAUUAUUAUCAUAUCAGAUUUAGUUUAAAUUUCAGUCGAUAGAGUUAGUUGGGGACAUGUCCCAUCAACUCAAUACUGAAGGUCAUAUAAAUUGGAAUGAAAUAUGCUAACUUGGUUAGAAAAUACACAAUAGCCCAAAUGCCAUCGAAACCACGAGAAGUGCAAGGCAACCCACUAAUGAAGUCUAUAGUAAUCUGCUCCCAUUUCCACUCAGGAAUUGGCAACCUCUGAGUCAACCCACCAGGACGCUGAUGUUCGGCCUUUACCUACUGAUAACAUAGGAAAUGAUUUACAAAAUUUCCCAUGUCUCUUUUCAUGCCAUACUAUCAAUAAUGAAAUCUCAAAUCUCUAUACAACUUGGUUGUAUCAGGAUGAAUGAAAUAUUCAAAGCUGUAAGCCUCAGCAAAAUCAAUUGAAUUAAGUCACCAAUCGGAGGAACAUAAGUACAACCCUAAAAUCUCAAAGCACUGUUAGAAUCAAUAGUGUACCUCUCCAAAUCACCACUCAACACCUAAUCAUGAAAGGAGCAUAAAUUGCCAUCCUCGAACUGACGAUCACAAAGCUACUCAAACAGUGAGGACCUCACCAAUAUACUAUCCAAAAUCUUUCUACAUUUGAAAUAUCAAGGCAAACCAUCAAAUUAGAUAAGGAAUGAAUAUCCCAUGCUAAGGUACUUUGAGAGACUGAUUACAAGCCAAGCUACCCAUACACACUACCUUGCUAUUCAAGGCAUCAGCUACCAUAUUUACCUUAUUCGGAUGCUACAAGAUAGAAAUAUUAUAGUCCUUUAGUAGCUCCAUACAUCUAUGCUGCCAAGAAUUAAGCUCUCACUGGGUCUUAAGAUGCUGAAGGCUUUAGUGAUUAAUGAAAUUCUCAGAAUGCACCCCAUACAAAAAUGCCUCUAAAUCUUAAACACGAAAACUACUGCUGCUAACUCCAAAUCAUGAGUGGGGUAGUUGCACUCAUGCACCUUAAGUUGUCUAGAUGCAUCGGCAAUGACAUGACUCUAUUAUAUUAAUAAGCAUCCGAGACAAACACCAGAUGCAUCACAAAACAUGGUGAAUCCCUCACCCUCAACUGGAAGAGCUAACACAGGGGUCGAUAUAAUGAAGUCCUUGAUCUUACCAAAGCUUAACUCACACUCCUCGAACUAUUAAAAAUAAAACUUCUUCUAAUUCAAUCUGGUUAUAAAGGUUGAAAUAGUCAUAAAAUACUCAAUAAAGUAUCUAUAAUAACUAUCCAAACCUAUAAAACUAUGGACAUCGAUCGGAGACGUAGGCCUAGCCCACUAAUGAAAUGCCUUUAUCUUUGCUGGGUCUUCCAUAAUACUAGCCUUAGCCACCACAUGUCUAAGGAAUGUCACUGACUCAGGCCAAAACUCACACUUGGAGAACUUGGCAAAAAACAAAUAGUCCCUCAAAGUCUAGAACACGAUCAUCAAAUACUGUGCAUACUCCUCACUAAUCCUUGAAUACAUAAGGAUAUCAUCAAUGAACACAUCAUGAAGAAGUUUAGAUAGGGUCUGAACACACGGUUCAUCAAAUCCAUGAAUGCGGCUGGGGCAUUAGUCAACCCGACAGACAUCACUAGAAACUCAUAAUGACCAUAAUGGGUCCUGAAAGCUGUCUUUAGAAUAUCCUUCACCCGAAUCCUCUACUAAUGGUAACCAGACUUCAAAUCAAUCUUAGAAAACACGGCAGUGGACUAAAGCUGGUCAAACAAAUCAUCAAUGUAAGGCAUUAGAUAUCAAUUCUUCAUCUUCACCAUAUUAAGCUGUCUAUAGUCACUGUACAUACGUAUGGCGCCGUCCUUCUUCUUCAUAAAAAAUAUCGGUAUAAUAAAACCCUUACCAAGACCAUCUUGAAGCUGAGAGUUUACUAAGGUGCCAUAAAAAUAUGUCAGGUUCUAGGUUCGAGGUCAAUAUAAAAUUCAAUCUCAUAGAAAGGAGGAGUACCAGGUAAGUCGAUAGGAAACAUAUUUGAAAACUCAUAAAUAAUAGGAACAGAGUCAAGUGAUGAAAUCUCCACAUGAGUAUCAAAAAUAUAAGUGAGAUAAGACUCGCAUCCCCUUACUAUAUGUCUCCUAGCACAAACAUAAUAGAUAAUCCCUAUCGGCUCAUAGCUAGCCACUCCCUGACAUACACUGGGGGGUACGCUAAGAAUGGCUAAGAUAAUAGUCUAUGCUAAAUAAUCUAUGAUCGCAUGAUAGUGGGAUAACUAGUCCAUGUCUUGAAUCAUAUCAAAAUGUAGCAUAUCUAGAAUUUUAAGAUCAACACAAGUAUCAACAUCACUAUCUAUCAUAACAUAUGAUCUGAAUACUUAAUCCACUACUAAAGAAUCACCUACGGGAGUAGAUACAAGCAAUGACACAGAUUAUAAAUCACUAGUCCACUCCAAUCGUGGUGCAUACUAAACAAAUAUAUAAGAAUAAGUGGAUCCCAAAUUAAAUACAGUAAAAUCUUACUUAUGGUACACCAAAAUCAUACCUGCAACUAUAACAUCUAAAGUCUCAUCCUUGGGUCUAGCAGGUACUACAUAUAAUUUAACCACACUCGCCACAUGGUUGUGCACCUGAUCGACCUUCUAUUUUAGCUGCCAAAGUAAAACCUCGAGCACCCUGAUAACCACCUCUAUAAUUAUAAAAACUACUUUGACCUGCAAGGUAAACUUCUCUAAUAGGGGAAGAAAUCAUGAGUUGAAAUAACCAUUGCCCUAUGGCUAAGUAAAUAUCAUGAAUAGUGACUAGAGAGUCCACAAGUAAAACAAGAAACAUGAGUAGAACCAAAACUAACAGUGCUGGCUGACCUAGAAUAACCACCAUGUAUAGUAUGACCUAAACAUAAACCUCUUAAAUAUUGAUCACUUCCCUUACCAAGGCGACCACUAGUACCAUACUGACCUCCAUUAGUAAUUUAAAGAGCUUUUUAAAGUAGUCAACUAGGCUGAAUCUAACGCUAAAAUGAUAGACACAGAUAAUACCUAACAUGAGAAAUACCACCUCUGAGUCAAGAACUUCUACAUAUCCAACUAUAUCUUUCAUAAAACCUAGGUUUCUAAUUACGACCCUCACAACUCUCAUAGUGCAUCUCUUCCACCACCCUAGUAUAAUCUGUGUAAUACCCCAUACUUUUCUUAAUUUAGUUCAGCUUAUAGUGCAUGUGUAAGAGGCUUAGAACCUAAAAAUUUAGCUAAGUGUUGUGGAAUUAGUUUUAUUUUUGGCUUCUUAACUUUAAGGAUAUUUAAAAUGACCUUUCGAACCUUUAGAAGUAAGUUUUUGAGUUAAGUCAUAUUAGGACGUGUGUUAUUGUUAUGUUAUUCCCACAUGUUUGAAUGAAGAAUAUUCCAUGUUAAAUCCCCAAUUUAUGGUUUUAGUGUUAAAGUUUUGUUAUUCCUAUAUGUUUCAAUCAUUUCCAUUCUUAAGUUGAUGAAUUUCAAGUGUUUGAUGAAAUGCCUAAAUGAUUGAAAUUUGAACUAUGAUCCCUUAUUCUAUUCUUCAAAGCUUUCAUAUAUCCAUAUUGUUAAUUCCAUUCCAUGCUGGGGGUUAUGAAUACCCAAAACUUAGCUGUUUACAUAGUUUACAGUAUUUUUAGAAUGGUUUCUGAUAAACCUCAAGCCUUGUUAUUCAGUUAGUAUCAUGUCAAUUGUUAGCCCAGUUAAGCUCAAUUUGGUUCUGUAGUCACUGUCAUUAAGUUGGGAGUAGGAUUUAGCACCGAGCAAACCUAGGGAUGGGGUCUCACCUACCAAUAGAGGGUGUGACCUUGAGUAGCAGUCCCUUAGUUCUAGAACUAUGCAGCUAGCGUAGGUUAGAGAUAUCAACCUUUAAGUUAAGGAUUGAUAAGGUGUCUACCUACUAGUUGAGGGUAACAUAUAUCUCAUUAGAGAACCUAUCAGAUGAGGGUGACUUAGUGGAUCCACACAACCAUUAUUGGUACCCAUGGCACGAUACUGACACCCUUCUAACUGGGAUUACAAUUAGCUCAUUGGGGCAUGUUGAUUAGAUGAUACAUCCCACAGUCUUAGUUUAGUAUUCAGUACAGAGUUCAUUUCAAGUUUUCUUAACCUUAGCUUACAGUUUAUCAGUUAUUAAGGUACUAGAUUUUAGAAUUUCAAUUUAUAGACUAUUUCAAUAAUCACAUUAUAUGCUUAGUCAUGCGUUCUUAGAUUUUAUAGUUUUCAAACAAAUUAUGCAUCAGAUAUCUCAUGUUAUUCAAUCAGUCAUUAUCUUAUGCUAUUUAGACAGUCAGUAUUUUAUGCACAUGAACCUACAUAUUUUAGCCUGACCUCAUCUGAUGUGCUAGUCCAUUCAAAAUACUGACCGCAUACUUUCUUCGCUCUAUGAUAUCUUAUAUAAUAGGUUUGGACACUCAGUUUCCUGCCCGUGCUUAGAUAGUUUAGCAUUACAGUAGUAGCAAUGGUGGUAAGUCCUCAACUUUUGAGGAUAAGUUUAUCUUUAUUCAGUUAUUUUAGUAUUCUUCUAUUUUAGUCAGAUGGAUUUUGUUGGGGAUUAAUCCCAUCAACCCUAUAGUUAAUCAAUUAGAGGCUUUUUAGACAUUCAGACAGUAAGUUAGUUUAUCAGUUUUUUAUUAGUUUUUCAGUAUGUCUUUAGAUGUCCAAAUUUAUGAUUUAGUUGUAUUUUGAUAUUUAAAAACUUAUGGUAUUGUCAGUUAUUUUUCUAUGUAUGUCUCUUAUUAUCAGUUUUACUUAGUGCUCAUAGUAGGAACCAGCUCAUAGGUUUAGCUUGUGGUCACUUAUUACUGUAAGCACCAUUUUCGUGACUAGGGGGUAGCCUUGGGUUAUGACAAAACUUGAUAUCUGAGCCUAAGGUUUUAGAGAGUCCUAGGGAGUCUAAAAAGCUGCAUUAAGUAGAGUCUUAUGCAUGUGUAUGAAGCAUGCCACACUUAUGGAUAAGAGGCUAUAAGACGUUUUAGGAAAAGUUUCCCUUCUUUCAGUAUUCAUGUUAUUUAAGUGAGCAUGAGAUCUAUUUAAAUUCUCUUUCUAACCCAUCCCUUAUUCUAUCAUAGAAAAUGCUCCCAAAAAAAUAAAAGAAGAAAUGGGAAUCAACUCAUACCUCCACCCGUUCAGGAAGAUCUUUUGAAUGAGCACAUAUCUCAUGCCUUUUCAGAGCUGCAUUCACUACCUUAGCUCAAUCGAUAGUAGCUUGGAACAAUUAGAAGGUUUUUGCCUCAGCUAAUAUAGUGGCAAAUACAGUUACAAUUAGGAUUCAAGAUUUUACCUAAAUAAAUCCCCCUUUGUUUUCGGGAUCCAAGUUUGAGGAGGAUCCAUAUAAUUUUAUUGAUAUGGUUAAGAAGGUGAAAAAUAUCAUGGGUGUCACUUUGAGUAAGAGUGUAGAGUUGGCUGCAUACUAGUUGCAAUAUGUAGUUCACACCUGGUAUAAGCAUUGGAGAGGGGAUAGAGGCAUUGAGGCAGGGCCCAUAUAGUGAGAGGAGUUUGCCAUAGCUUUCUUAGAUAGGUUCUUCCCAUUAGAGUUGAGAGAAGUUAAGGUUCAGGAGUUCAUAAACCUGAAGUAGGGUAGUAUGAGUGUGAAGGAGUAUUCACUUAAGUUUACUCAAUUGGCAAGUUAUGCUCCAAAUGUGGUGUCUGAUAAUAGGUCAGGUAUGAGUAUAUUUUUUCUUGUGUAUUUGAUAGUGUGGUUGAAGAGUGUAGGAACGAUAUGUUGAUUAAGAAGAUGGACUUGUCUAGACUUAUGGUUCAUGUUCAGCAGAUUGAGGAGGAGAAGGUUAAGGAAAAAGAAAGAGAGUAAGAAGGCUAGGGCGUAUAACUUUAAUUUUUCUCAGCCAAGGUCAGAGGGUGGUAACCUUUCUCAGUUUCGUCAAAAGUUUUCUACCCCAGCUCCAUCUUCACAUAGUGCUCCAGUACCAAGGAUUUGGAAUGACAGUUGAGAUGAGGCAAUAGGCUCUGAGACCCAGGGUAGUAUGAAUGGUGGUCAUACUAAUUUACUUUGUAGAGAAUAUGGUAGGAACCAUAAGGGUUUGUAUAGAACUGACAGUGAUGUAUAUUUCAAAUGUGAUAAGCCAGGCCACAAAGUCAGAGAUUAACUAAAGAGUGGUCAGCAAGGUCAGUUAUAUUGUCCUUUAACUCUAUCUAAUCUCCUGACUCAACAGGGUGCUAUAUCUAAUACCACCAGUGCACAAUGCAAGAACUGGAUAUAUGAACUCUAAUCCUAACAGAAUCAGGACAUUUCUCUUGAUGUAGUUACGAGUACAUUGCAGGUCUUUCAUCUUCAUGUUUAUGCUUUGUUAUAUCCUGGAGCUUUACUUUCUUUUGUAACCCCCUAUAUAGAUAUAAAUUUUGAUAUCAGUCCUGAAAUACUAGAAGAGCCCUUCUCAGUGUCUACCUCAGGGGUAAAUCUAUCCUAGCUAGACGGAUAUAGAAAAACUGCCUGGUUUAGUAUCCCAAAAAAUUACUUCAGUUGAUUGCAGAAAUAUAGUCAUUCAGUUUCAAUUUAUGAAUGAACUAGUCAUUGAAUGGAAGGGUAGUACCUUAAUGCUUAUGGGUUAGAUGUGUUUUCAGAUCCCUUCUCAGAAUCCUAUGAUAGCAUAUGAUCUAGAGUUAAAAAUAUGAAUUCAAAAGUUUAGAAGCAGUAAGGUGGGAAUGACGUAUAUCGAUAGUUAGUGGAUUAUAUAUCCAUGUGGCUAGUUAUAUGAGCGGUGAGUCAGUAGACUUGAAACAAUAUGUGUAGGAAUUUAAGUUAAGUUUGAUAGUGUGGGUGUGCUUAUACAGUACCCUUGAGUGCUAAUUUUGGAUGAGGCUAGUAUGAUAGUGAUUGAUGUUUUUACCAGCUAAGUUAUGGGCUAUAAGAUGUUGAUGUUAGAUAUUUAGGUGUAAAGGUAAUUCUCAUGGUUUAGGAAGAAAUAUAAUUUUAAAGAUGUGAUAUUUGUACAUUAUGAUGAAAGUAGAAUGGUUCAUUAAAGGUUUGGGGAUAUCCACGUAAAGUGUUAGAAUCUAAGUUUUAAUCUUUUGAGGUUGAGCUAAUAGAAAGAAGAGUUUAAAAUUCUAAGUUAGUCAGUGUUUAAGUUGUUACAUGAUGAUAGAAUAGGUAACCAAGUCAGGAUCUCAGAUCCUAGUAGUGAUGCCAGUGGAUUGUAGAACAACAAUAGGGAGGAAGAUUCCCAACCCAUUCUUAUUUUAGCCUUUUUACUUCAGUUAUCACGAUAUCUACUCACGCCUUUCAUGUCAGCUCUCUGAUCAUAGUUUAUGUGCAUUCACUUUAUAGAAAAUCACGUACACUUCCAUUCCCUUGUAUAAAGAGUUUAAGUAUGCUCAGCUGUAUGAACCAUGUUCCAUGAAUGUAUGAACUCCAAACUCAGGUCAUGCAUCUCACGACUCAUGUAAUCAUUCUUUAUAGUAUGUUAAGUUCCAGUACUUAUGCUACACUCUUAAUGAUCAGCGAAAUUCAGAUUAUAUCUGUAUAUCCUCAGUUUUUAUCUUUGUAAUAAAUACAGAAUAUGGAUACUCUAUGUUUAUGCAUCAGUUUUAGAUUCUAGAUAUUCAGUCCAUGAGUAUCCCGUGCAUUAUCUCCGUCUUUCCUUAGUAUUUCAGCCAAGUCAGUAUCAUUUGGGGGACGAACUAUUCCAAAGGUGAGAUGUUGUAAUACCCCUAAGAUUUCAUGUACUAAAUGUCUCAACUUUUCUUUAUGAAACAAGAUCUAACAUGAAGUAAUGGGUACUCAUAAGUUGACUCUCUCAUUUCUAUCUCAGCCUUGUAAUCAUCCUUGUGUCAUUGCAUGUAUUCGAGGAAUCAGUUUAGUUCAUGAUAUUCAGUUCACGUAUCAUAUUUCAGACUCAGUCAUGUAAUCAUACUUUUAGUUAUGUAUGUUCAGCAUAUGAUCUCACAUCCUUCAGUACUCUCAUCUUAACCAAUCUCAUUCGAGGAUGAAUAUUCCCAAGGGAGAGAUAUUAUAAUACCCCAUACUUUCCUUAAUUUAGUUCAGCUCAUAAUGCAUGCAUAAGAAUCUUAGAACCUAAAAAUUUAGCUAAGUGUUGGGGACUUAGUAUGUUUUUUGGCCUCUUAACUUUGAGGAUGUUUAAAUUGACCUUCCUAACCCCAAGACAUAAGUUUUUGAGUUUGUUCAUGUUUAGGGCUGUAAAGAUCAUGUCUCGCGGAUGUUUUGGAUUUUUCAGAUGAGGAUUAGGCCAUGUUUGGAUUUCAAAAAUAGUAAUUCAUCGCGAUAGCAUUGCGACAUGGUCAUUAUAGCUAUGGAUGGAUCAUCGCAUCACAGUACCUUCUUAAUUCGUAUUUCAGUUGCAAAUUUAGGCAUCUGAGGGCAGUAGCAUCUUUUCCCCAUAAUCCAAGUCGUCAUAACACUGCUUAUAUCAAUAAUUUGGGUGUAAUUUGCCCAUUCUCCUUUAAUUUUAUCUCAAAGAAACCCUAACUACCACCCAAGAAUCUUAAAAUUAAUUAUCUUCUCUUCAAGAAAACCAAUAACUUAAGCUUCCUAAUUCAAGAACUUUUAAGAAAGCUUUCAAGAUUGUAUUUUCUUUCCAAGUGUAAAAGAUAAAGGUAUGUGUGAUGUUCAUCCAUGGGACCUUUUCACCCAUGGAGUCCAAGAAGCUUUUCUUUAUGUUUUAAUUCAUGAAUUUACAUGUUUACAAUAAGUUAUCUUCAUGAAACUUUUCAUGAAUUUCGAUUAUACAUGAUAUUUGCAAGGUUUUUCAUUGAAAGUUGCCCUUACACGUUUGAAUGAAUAAAAUUCCAUGUUAAAUCCUCAAUUUAUGAUUUUAGUGUAUAGUUAUGUUAUUCCCACAUGGUUCAAUCAUUUUCAUGCUUAUGUUCAUGAAUUUCAAGUAGCCAUAUUAUGAUCCCCUAUUAUGUUUUUCAAAGCUUUGAACUAUGAUCCCCUAUUAUGUUUUUCAAAGCUUUCAUGUAUCCAUAUUAUUAAUUUCAUUCAGUGCUGGGAGUUAUGAAUACCCAAAACUUAGCUGUUUACAUAGUUUACAUUAUUUUCAGAAUAGUCUCAGAUAAACCAUGAGCCUUGUCAUUCAGUUAGAAUCAUGUUCAAUUGUUGGUGCAGUUAAGCUCAGUUUGGUCCAGUAGUCAGUGUCAUUUAGUUGGGAUUAGGAUUUAGCACCAAGUGAACCUAAGGAUGGGGGCUCACCUGCCAGUAGAGGGUGUGACUUUUAGUAGCAGUCCCUUAGUUCCAGAACUACAUAUCCAACAUAGGUUACAGAUGUCAACCUCCCAGUUGAGGGUUAAUAAGGUGUCUACCUGCCAGUUGAGGGUAACACAUAUCUUAUUAGAGCACUAGCUAGAUAAGGGUGAUUCACUGGAUCCAUAUAGCCAUUGUUGGUACCCAUGGCACGGUACAGGCACCUUUCUAACUGGUGUUAUAGGUUGGACCCCAAUUAGCUCAGAUUUGGCCAUGUCUAUUAGAGGAUAUCUCCCACAAUCUAAGUCAGUAUUCAGUACAGAGUUUAGUUCAGGUUUGCUUGACCAUAACAUACAGUUAAUCAGUUAUUCAGUUACCAAAUUUUAGUAUUUCAGUUUAUAGACUAUUUCAGUAAUUAUGUUAUAUGCUUGGUCAUGAAUUCUCAGAUUUUAUAGUUUUUAUGCAUAUUAUGCAUCGAAUAUCUCACAUUAUUUAGUUAGUCAUUAUCUCAUGCUAUUCAGUCAGUCAGUAUUUCAUGCAUAUGAACCUACACAUUUCAGCCUUACCUUAUGUCAUAUACUACUACAUUCAAAGUACUGACUGCAUACUUUAUUCGUGCUAUGAUGUCUUAUAUCAUAGGUUUGGAAGUUCAAUUUCCUGACCGUGGUUAGAUAGUUCAACAUUAUAGCAGUAGUAGUAGCAGUGGUGAGUCCUCAUCUUUCGAGGAAAAUUUUAUCUUCAUUCAGUUAUUUCAGUAUUCCUCUAUUUCAGUCAGAUAGAGUUAGUUAGGGGUUUGUCCCAUCAACUCCAUAGUCAGUUAGUUAGAGGAUUUUUAGACAUUCAGAUAGAUAGUCAAUUUUAUCAGUGUUUUUAGUAUAUCUUUAGACGUCCAAAUUUUUGAUUCAGUUGUAUUUCAAUAUUUAAAACCUUAUGGCAUUGUAAGUUUUUUGUUAGCAUGUGUCUCUUAUUAUCAGUUUUACUUAGUGCUCACAGCAGGUACCAGUUCAUGGGUUGAAUUAUGGUAACUUGUAAGCAUAAGCACCGUUGUCGCGACUAGGGGUAGUCACGGUCAUGAUAAUCUGGAACCUUAGCAAAAGUCCUACCGAUAGAAACUAGACUCUAAGUAGCCAUAUGAAUAUGGAGUCUCAACCAUCAAACAAAGUAGCAAACUCUCCAAUACUUAGUGUCCAAAUUAGAAGUAGCAUGCCUGGCCAAAUCAUGAAAAUAGGCCUCAUACUCAGCAACUAUCAUGGAGCCCUGCUCCAUUUUGGGUAACUGAUCCCUCAGUCAAUAUCUAUGACUGCAGAAUAUAUACCUCUCUAAGAACAUCUCAGAGAAUUGAGUCUAUGACAAGGUAGGAGAUCCAGAUAGUCUAGCAUCCAUAAAAUUGCUCUAUCAAUGAUGAGCAGACAAAUCUAACUAAAAUAUGGUGUAGUGCACACCAAUAGUAUCAACUAAGCAUAAUCCACGAAGCCUAUCCUCACAAGCUGUCAGAAACUCAUACUCAUCCUUUCCUAGAUCACAAAAAAACUAGGCAGAGCUAACCUCAAGAAUCUAUCCAAUAUCUUCUUCUCCUUAGAAGAAAUAGCAUGUUGGGUCACCACUAGCUAAAUAAAUACUGGCUAAACAACUGUCAGCAUAGGAGAAACCUCAACUCCUGGAGCUAUAGCUACAAGCUACGUCCCGUCUCUAGUAGCACUUUGAUUAGUAGACUGUGCACCAUCAAAUAAAAUACCACCAAUAAUACCCACAUCAAGGAAUCUUUAUGCAAUAAAGAGGAAUAAAACAUGGUGGAGCCUAGGCUGGUCCCUGGCCCACCGCUGGCUGUGGCGGAGGAAUCUUUGGCUCAUGUUUAGGAAUAGGAUCUGAGGAAAGCAUCCUAUCCUGGUCCAUAGAUUGGGACAUAUCACGUGGAUGUCCUUAACCUAUAGGUCAUCCAUAAAUAGGAAUAGGCUCCCGAUCUCGGCCUCAGGACACUCAUCUUGCGUAGAUAUGGUAUGUGUCCUUGAUAUCUACAAAAGAGUAAAAUCAAGGGAAUAUUUACAAACCAACUCAAACUCUUAGCACGAUAUGAGUGAAAGAAGUGAAGGACUCCUAAGAAUAUCCCACAACUUCCUAAAGAUAGGAAAGGAUGUCAAUGUUUCAAUCCGUAGGACUCUAUUAGACACUUGCUCUUAUACCAACAAUAUUAGUGAAACCUAGGCUCUAAUACCAAUUUGUCAUGACCAUAUUUACAAGUCAUGAUGGCACGCAUUAUGACCCACCAGUGGUUAAGCCAAUACCUUAACCCAAAGCUAGUGCAAUGGGUUAAUUAGGUAAGAAAUGCCCAACUAGGCCAAGUAACCAAUGAAAACAAGAUACACAUAUAUAAUGUUCUAAUAUAGAAGGAUAAGCAAACAUAUAUACCAAUCCCACGUUCGAGCAUAAUCAGUACAAGAGUAUCUAAUUAUGAUAGAAAUAGGAAUACAACCCAAGCACCUUAAGUAGUAAAUACAUCGAUCUCAGAUACAAAAGAUAGAAUCAAUGAUAGAAGGAAAUGGGAAACUCAAAACUCCAAGAGCUCACCCUAUAUUUGGAAUUUCAACACCGCACAAAAUUUAGUCAACAAUGGAAGCUAGUACUCAAAUCAGCACCAAAAGGGUUCAUUAGUGUAGUAUGAGUACCAAAACAUUGGGUACUCGGUAAGCAUCAUCGAGCAAUUGAGCUAAAUUGUGAUAUAAAAAUAAUAUAGUGCAAGAUAAACAUAUCUAAGGCAAGGUACAAAAUCAAACAUGGAUCAUCUCCGUCGUCACUAUAUAUAGUAAGUAAUCAAACCAGAAUAAUAAUGACAUAACUCAUUAUCAUACAUAAUAUCACCGUUCAUAGGAAAUAAAUGACUCAAAGUCAUAAAGAAACAUGAGUACAAUAAAAAGCAACACAAGUUCAAUCACAAGCAACACAAGUACAAAGUUGGUGUCCAUACACCAACUAAUGUCCCAAACCACCGGAGAGUACACUCAAGGAAAUAAUACGAUAUAACUAUUUAACCAAAAAUGUAUCCAAAUCUCAUCAUUAUUCAACCAAAGCAUUUUACCCAACUUUAAUAGUUACUAACAUCAAUAAUACAAUCAAGUCCAUACUAUUACCAUCAUUGUCCAUAUAUUAACUAUAUUCACUAAAUACCAUAUUUUAGCAAAACAAGGGUUAUUAACUAGUCUAUGGAAUCUCUAACCAUCAAGUAAUAUAUUCAUUUAAUAGAAAACUAGUCACCACAAAGCUUAUUCUAAUAGUCAACAUAUAUUAAUUAACCCUUGUAUGAUACUAGCAUUACUCACUAGAUGGAUCCUCAUUUUAAAAUUAGUUCCCACUUAUUAACUAGUCGUGUUUCCUCAUUUAACAACAACCAUCACAAUCUUUUAAUUACCAUUAAUCAUUAAAUUCUCCCAUUUAUAAGUAUUCAACACUAGUAAUCUAUAUCCAACACCCAAAGGUCCACAUUAUACUAUCAUUUCACACGUAGAGGUACACGUUAAAAAGUAUGCAUAUAUUUUCCAUACAUAGGGCUAGCCAAAACUCAAACCAGUAGGUGCACUCAUGGGAACAUCAAUAAUCAUCCUAUGGUCUCGCCAGACAUUAUAAUAUCAUCAUCAUAUACUCAUACCUUACCAGGAAUCAUCAUCAUAUCAAUAUAUCCUCUGGUCUUGCUGGGCACCAUGGCCACAUCAAUAUAUCCUUCGGCCUGGCCGGGCAUCAUCAUCACAUCAGUAUAUCCUUAGUCCUUGUCGGGUAUUUUUUAUCACUUCAAUAUAUAUAUAUAUAUAUUAAUAAUAAUAAAUAAAAAUAACCCACAAGGGAUAAAGAAAAUGACAAGCCCCUCGAGGGCUAAAUUAAAAGAGAAGUAAGGAGAAACAUACCUUCAUAUCUCAUCAUUCAUCAUCAUGGAAAAUUUUUCCAUAAGUGUAUAAAUAUAUAUAUUUAGCAUAAAUAUCACAAAGCAUUUUUGGAUUCAAUGUUGUUAGUAGCAUAACUUCUCAUGUAGUCAAUAAAUAUACCUUCUAGAUCCUUUAGCAUCAUGACUCAGAAUAUUAGUAACAAGAGGGAUUUCUAGCAAAAGCAUAAGCUUUUCAACUCGAGGUGGAAUGGAUUCAUAUAUAUUAUGGGAGUGAAGGAGUGUGGGAGUGCAGAAAAACAAGCUUCCUGGAUAGUGCAAAUAAUACUUAAAGCACGCAAUUAUCUUUAGGAGGCUGGAUAUGAUGAGAACGCAAUAUUGACAACGGAUAAGUACUCUAUCAAGACGGUUUAUUUACAAAUGAAGAGUGAAUUGGAGGAAAAUUGUUUGGGCCAACUAUGGAGCACCAAAAUGGCUUUUCAUAAUGUGCCUGGCUAUAAACAACCGAUUUACCACCAAAAAUAGACUGGCAAAAUGGAAUCUGGUGGACAAUGUAGUAUGCCCGCUAUGUUAAGACAAGGCUGAGCAUGUUGAGCACUUAUUCUUUGAAUGUACAUAUACUACAAGUGUUUGGAACCAACUACUAAAGUGUAAAGGGAUCAAUAGGAUGAGUCUACAGUGGUAGGCUGAGAAACAAUGGGUAAUACAAUAUAUGAAGGGCCAAAACAACACUACACAGGUAUACAGAAUGACACUGGCUUGCGUUAUAUAUGCGAUAUGGAUGGAAUAUAAUGCCAGGGUGUUUCAUAGCAAAUAAAGAUUAGUUUUAGUCAUCGUUAAAUAGAUUAUACAAGAUGUCCACGAAAGUGUAAUGCCCCAAAAUAUCAUUCCGAGAUGCCACACGGUGCCCAAGGCUACACGUAGCCUCAAGCUAACCCUUUAAUCCAAAACACUACCCUUGGGUUCCAACACAACAAUAUACACGCUACGCUAAGGAUCUAUAUAUAAGUACAUAUCAUAUCACAUCGCUCAUGGUACGGAAUAUCGUUAGACUGUACAUAUAUGGAAUGUCUAUAUACAAACCAACCCAAUAAUACACUAGUCUGACAUAACCUUUAUAUAGCAAAAUCAAUGAGCCAUUGGGACAAACCCCCAACUAACUCAAUAGACCAAAGGGAUCACAAAACAACAACACCAAAACUAGCAACUUGGUCCUCGAACCAUGAGGACUCACUAUUGAAGGAAUAAAGAUGCGACACUCGGAUAUCACUAUCGUGGCUGCGGAUGAGUACCUGAACCUACAUCAUGGUAAGAAUGUAGCCUAUAGAGAAAUAUGUGCGUCAGCACAAGAUAUGUACUGAGUAUGUGUGGGCGCAUGCAAAAUAUAAAUAAUAUCAUAAAUUUCAUAAAAAUAUACAUACGGACCAUAAUGACACGCCUGGCUUGAGUGACAUUGGAUCAUGCAACUCAUGGCAUCUUAGAUAAGAAAUGUAGGAGAAAAACCUCAUAAAUCAUUAUAGAUCAUCAUAGGCAACUUGAAUUACCACAGCAACCAUCGGAGUGACUCGGUAUUUCAAUAAACAUGACUCUUAUGGACAGGAGAGUUUCCUAUAACCGAUAAUCCCACAUGAGCUACGUAGAAUACCAACGUUUGAAACCCCCAUUGGCAGGAGCGUCAUACUCUUUUACAGGGAGUACGACCUUAAAAUUGCAAUAAUCACAAUCGGGCUCUCUGGCCAAUAAUAUCAUCAUUAAACAACCCUACGGUGGCACAUAGGUUUGGGAAAAUACCAAAUUUCUCUCUCGGUGCUAAGUACUACUCCCCGAUAAGCUCAGAACGCGUUAGGAAAUCCACCACAACAUCACAAGGGUCUAUCAUAAAGACCAAAUCAAAUCUCUUUCUCAUUUAUCAAAUCAUAUAAUUUGUGGAUUCCUAACUCAACACAUUUUAGCUCAAAAUAUUUUAUUCUUCCUCAACAUCAACAAGGUAUCAAUGCAUUGAACCAUAAUCGACUCGACAUUUGAACAAGGAUAUGAAGACUCAAUACAUAAUAUUUUCAACAAUUUAACUCAUCAAAACCAUCCGGAAAAUAUCAAGACUCAUUGCAACUUCGAUAUCAAUAUACCCAAUAACUCAAAUCGUCAUAAGGAAGCUCAAAAUUUGACACAUGGCUCAAAAACACUUGGAAAUAAAUCAAGGCUUAACAAAUUAAAUCAUCAUACUCUCAUAAUCAAAUACUUUUUGGACAUAAUUCCAUCUCAACAUCAUACACAUAUCGGAUGACAUAAUCCCAUAGCUCAUGAACAAUAAUAUAAGAUAUAAAACCAUAUUUCCAAUUCAUGGUAAAAUAUGUAAAAUCUCAUGUCAAUGUAAUUCAACAGAAAUACCAGGCACAAGAUUAAAAGGAUAAUCUUGUUCAAAGCCCCACAUACUUAAAAAUGGAAGAUGACUAUGAAUUUCCGACUCUAGAACUUUAUUCACGAAAAUAAAGAACGCUUCUUGAAGCCCUUAACAUGAUCAACUCGACUCCCAAAUCAAUUUGAAAUUUCUACAGUUCAAUCAAGAGACAUAGAAGGAUAAAAUUUGGAGUAGUAUGGUUGGGGUUUGAGCCUUAGGAAAUUUUGGAGAAAAAUGAGCUAUUGAAUGCUCUUAAUGGACUUAAAUCCAUGGUUUACUCAGAUUGAUUGGAGUGGGAAUGACCAAAAUACCCUUAAAAAUCAAAUAAUGUCAAAUCUGUUCUUUGGUGGACUGUUUUGAUAGGCUGAAGUAGAUUGACCAUAACUUUUUGAUCCAAUGGCCAAAUUGGAUGAAACCAAUUUCAUUGGAAAGAGGAAUUUUAGAGCUUUCUGUUAAUAUAUAGUAGCUCACCUAGAUCAUUAUGUACAAGGAGUUAUGAUUGUUUGAAUUUGACCCUAAAAUUUGCCUAGCCUCAAUAUUUUGUUCCUGCACAUUUACUGUUCACCACUAUUCAUGGUUAGAUCAGAAUGAUUAUAACUCAUUGCUUGAGUGUCUAUUUUGGCUGAUCUACAUAUCGUUGGAAAGCUUAUUCGAUUCUCUACGGGAUGACAGGUCGCAUAUAUAAAAUUUCCAUACAAAAAAAUUAUUAAUCACGAUAAAGAACAAAAUUCAACACAUUUUCGUCUGACAUCUUAAUGGAAAAUUUUUCCGGGGCAUCACAAAAAAAGGAAUCCAUCAGGCCAAAUUAGCUAGAAAACUAUGUGAACUAAGUGUACUCCCCUAGCUAGUAGUAGUUAGAUAGUGAAUAGCAAUUUAUGUCCUUAGUAAACCAUGGGGCUCUAUUGUUCGUGGUUGAUAAUUUACCAGAUCUGUGUUGAUUACUUGGUAAAUAACAUAUUUACUUACCCAAAAAAAAAAACAAAGCAUAAAAUGAGUAAUAUCAUAUCCCAAGCCCAGAAUAGUAGUCUAGUCAAUGAGUCAAGUGAUAACAUUGCUGUGGUCUUAAUUAAUAACAUGCUCUAUAGCUUCUCAUAUCAUAAACAAUAAGUUAUCCAACAAUCAAAUCCAUCACUUUUAAUGCAAGAGCCAUAGUUCAUUUACUGAGGUUAGAAAAUAUGCUCCCAAAGGCAUUCUCUAAGCAUUUAACAAGCGUCUAAGGUCCUUAAUGAAACUACAUAAGUCCAAGCCUAAGGUGGGUCAAAAUCCCAUUUCUAAUUCCCCAAAAUACAUUUCAAGUCUAACUUCUACUCGAAACUAGGCUAAGGUAUCUAAAUCAAGUCUUAGAACCCUAGUAAGCCACAAUAGUCCUAAGAUAAAGAUCUUUCUCAAGCACUACUCUUAACUUAUCCGUAGAAACUAAGGCAAAUCCAUAAAUAUAUAUGACUAGGGUCAACUUUCCCUUCACACGAGUGACAAAGUCACCCCUAUCUAAAUAAAGAAACUAAACCCUUCGCAUGCUAUCCAUGAGACAAUAAGUUUAAUUAACCAAGGUUCUAUCCUACAAGUCAAGCAUUUCAACCUAUGAGUACUAAAUAGCCCAAAGGAUUCAACUAAUCCCAAGUGUUACUAUUGAUCAAUCCAACACCUAGAACCCCUCCCAACCAAGUAAGAUAUCAUAAUUAUACUAUAACAUAGCUCAAUAUAAUAUGAAGUAAGCCUAACCUACCUCAAAUCCAAAGGAAGCUCAUGAACUACUACACCUUUGUUUUUCUAUUUUGAGAAGCUUUUUCAAGGUGCCAAGCUAUUAAAAACACAAUCUACAAAUCAUUACAAGAAUAUCGAUACCCAUAUUGCACCUUUGUGCUUUGGGUCCAAAAAUGAAACCAAAACCCCCCAAAAUGGCUCCCACUUAUGGAAAACACAUUUCUGAUAUCAACCCAAUGUUCAUACACCAUUAGGGAAUCAUAACCCUUAAGAAUUAGGUGAAAGCUAAGCAUAUUUUGGCUAAAAUCAUGCCCUCAAGUUAGUUGGGGUUUUGGUCCCAAAUUAAAAAAAAUAAAGCUUGGAAAUGAAGGAUUCUUACCUCAAAUCCAUUGUAAAUCACGAAAAUAUAUGUUAAACAAGCUUCCAACUCAUAUCUAAGACUCAAUUUGAAGUUAACAUAUCAUUCUAGGGUUUCUAGGUCUCAAGGAGAGGUGAAAAUGUCCAAUUUUACGACCAAGGGGCCUAUUUAUAGCACCUCCUAAUAUGGAGGUAUUGUUAUUUCCCUUAAUUAGUCCGUGAACACAAUGGUGUGGUUUCCAUUAGCCUGGAUGCGAUUGCUAUGCUCCUAUGCCAGUAAGGUCAAAACUUAUUUUUGAUUUUCAGAGCUCAUUCAGACUCCAAUUUUCACAAAUAAACUAUGUAACCCUACCAAAUUCAAUAUUUCGGAUGCAUUGGUGAAGUUGUAUUUUCCAUAUAAGGUUUUUUAGACCAAUUGUGGCCCCACACCCAUAUCUUCUAAUUUUUUAACUUUCAAUCAAUAGGUCAAAAUGGUCUUGGGUGGAAGGAGACCCAAACCAAGGGUCUAUAUAACCUAAAAUCAAUAUUUUGGAGCUGCUGGCAUAACGACAAUUCAUAUACGAGAAUUUUUUAUGAGGUUUUUAUACGGUGGCCAUUUGAAACUAGCGAGAACUUGUAAACAGGGAAUUGGCUCUACAACCCAGGCAAACUGCCCGAUAGCUAAACUUUUAUUAAUUCCAGCAAGUCAUAAAUGACUUGGGGUAGCUAUGUAAAGAUAUAUUGAUGAAAAUAAGUAAAAUAAUGUAAAAUUACUAGAAGGGUCAUUAUAAGUAAUCAUACUACACUUUUGUACCUUUUUGAUAUAGAUCCAAGUACUACAUUCCAUCAUUGAUUAAUGUUCAUGUUAUGUAGAUAUUAAGAGAUAGGGUGAGCUCUUGGAGUUAGAGUCACCUACUUCUUUCUAUCUUUCUAUGUUCAAUAUUUCAUUUUGAGAAAAAUGUUAUAGACUAUUCUAGAUACAUAGGUGGUAUUAUUAUUAUUAGAUAUUCUUGUACUGGCUCUACCAGGCCAUGGGAUGAUAUCUAUGUUGACUAUGUUUAUAUAUUUCAAGUACUAUGCUUAUUUAUGAGUUUUGUUGUUGUUCUUUUGCCUAUGUUAGGAAUUUUCCACCAAGUUAAACCUAUUGUGUUUAGCUUUGGGUUAAGAUGUGGCUUAUCUACUGGCGGGGUAGAGUAGGUGCCAUCAUGACUCAUAAAUUGGGUCAUGACAAAUUGGUAUCAAAGCCAGGUUAUACUGGUAUUGUUGGUACAAGAGAAAAUAUUUUGUAGUGUCUACGGAUCAAAAUAAUGACGUCCAUUUCCUAUCUUCAGUAGGCUAUAGGACAUUCUUAUGAGUUUUUCACCUUUUUCACAAUUUUGUGCUAAGAGUAUGAGUUGGUUUAUCGAACAUUCCUUUGGAUUCACUCUUUUGUAGAUGGCUAGGACAUGUGCUACUGCUAUACGCAAUGAGGGUCCCAUGACUGAGCCUAGGGAUCCUUCUCCUAUUUUUGGAUGACCCAGAGGUCAUGGACAACCACGAGAUGUGUCCCAGCCAGGGGCUAGUACAGGGGUCCUCUACUAGAACCUAUUCCUUCUCCUGAACUAAAGAUACUUCUGCCUUAGCCAGUGGUAGGCUAGGGACCAGCCUAUGAUCCUCUAGGGUUUAUUUCUUCUUUAGUGCUUAGAGAUGCCUUGGUUCAGCUUUUGGAGUUAGUUGGUAGUGUAUUGUUUGAUGGUGCAUAAUGUAUGGAUUAGAGUGGUAUGGAGGUAGGGGCACAGGUUAUAGCCGUGGCUCAGAGAGUUUAGCGUUCCUCCUAUGCCAGCGAUUGUUCAGGCAGUGGUUUCCAACCUGCUAUGUCUAUCGAGUAGCGGAAAAUAUUGGGUAGAUUCUUGAGAUUAGCUCCAACUAGGUUUUCUGGUGCUCUAAGCGAGGAUGUAUAUGAGUUUCUAAUUACUUGAGAGGAUAUGUGUCAUGACCCAAACUAGGGACUGGCUGUGAUAGGCAUCUCAAGUACAACAAGGACCGAGACCACUCCCUACUCCAAACCAAAAAGGACACAAUACCCCCAACACUGAUUGAAUUUCUGAACAAAUAACAAGAUAGCAUAAGAUAAGCUCAAAGAAUUUAAGAUAUGUCUAUAAUUGAUAACUGCUAACCAACUAAAACAACCAAUACCACUUCCCAAGUCCACAGUAAUCCACAAAGCUUACUAAUAAACCAAAAUCAAUAAAGUGUCGAGACAUACCCCCGACUCUAACAAUGACAAUGAUAAUGUUAAUAUUAAUAUUAAUGUGAACUCGUCAAUUCAAGUUUAUGAAAGGAAACCGAUGGAAUGAUCAGGGCUUCCAAAGAAUGGAAGCUCACCACUUUAUUGCAAACGAUCGAUGAAUCGAGCUGAUCUACCAAACAUUACCUAGGAAAAGUAGAAGUAUCUCUGAUACCUACAUUGUAUGGGGAUAUAACAUUCAAAGACAAUUAGAGGGUUGAGAACUAGAAUGUAACUCGAGGAUAAGGAUAAAGUAAUGACUAUUCAAAAUUCAGUUCAAAUCAAUGUACAUGUUCACAUACAUGCGUGCAUAUAUAGAUAUAUAUAUACUUACAUAGCAUGUUGGGAUAGGAAACAAGGCUUAACAUGCACUUUAAAACUUUAGCCUAGAUUAUGUAGCUUAACAGUCAUAUAAUAGUACCCAUAGGCUAUAUGGGCCCUAGCUCUUACCCCCUAGUCGAGACCCAGUGCGUGUAGCAAGACAAACCAAAGCAUAAUCUCAUAUAUAUGCACGGGGAACUCAAACCUUCCAAUCAUAUACGAUGGUGACUUAAGCACCCAAUCAUGUAAUGUAAUAUGGGGGACUCAAACCUCCCAAUCAUAAUAAUAAGGUGGACUCAAACCAUAUGGUCAUAAGUAAGAGGACUCGAACCGUAGACCAUUUUGACUCUUGCACCAGCAAAUGCAAUUUCCAUUAUUGGUCCCUCAGGACCUCCACUUUCACGGUCUAUCUAUACAACCCUCUUUUAAUCCCUAUUAAAAUAUUUAUCACACAUUCCCAUUGGUUGGACCAUAGUACACAUUUAGGCAUACACUGUUGGUAUCGUCAUACCAACUACACUUACAAGGUAUCAUCACAUGCCAAAUCAAUUUCAUUAACUCGGGAGAACAACUCCCUUUAUUCAUUAAACCAAACCAUUGUGUUUCAAAUACCUCUUUAUAUCAUCUAGGUUCGAAAGUAAUUCAAUGCAAUUAUACUAAUACUAAAAAAAAUUCCACAAAAUUUGGGUUGGGGUUAUUUCCAAUUCAAUUGUAAAUAUUCACAAAAUUUAGGGAAAUCACAAUCCCAUAAUUUAUUCACCAUGCACAUGCAUCAAAUUGAUAAAACCGCCAUUUAAACAUAAACAAUGCAUAUGUAUAACAUGAACCAUCACAUAAACAAGAGACAUUCAAAACCCUAAACCCCUAUUCCAAAACCACCAUCAAAUCCACAUGGACACCUAUUUAAACACAUACUUUUAAUAAUUAAUAAUUAGGGAAGAGUAACAUGCCUAAAAUAUCAAGAUUUAUGGAGAGAAUUUUCCCUUUGGAGCUCUAAUUGAUAAACUUCUUAGAAACCCUAAGUAUCUUUCUUGAGAGAAUUUAGAGAUCUUGAGAGAGUGUUUUGAUUGUGAAUAGUAUAAUAUUAAAGUCCCAAAGAGGGUUUUAAGUCAUGUGGGCUAAGUGUGGUAGGAGGGAAAUUACCAGGAAGCCCUUAAUUAAAAUAUUGAAAAUCGACGCCCAAUCGCCAUGAGUGACCUCAUGACUUGCAGGGUUACCCCACACUUGUCUGGUUACAAGUCACACCAUAUGACUAGUAUUCAGUCCUUAUGACUCAUAAUAUGCUACUCGCAGUCAUAAUAGGAUCUUUAUGCUAGUACACUGGUUUCCCUAUGACUCCACCCUAUGAAUCAUUACGAUACCCUACAACUUUUAAGGUUCAAGUCAUAGUCAAGACAGAAACUCAGGCCAACAUACUGGACAGGAUACGAUUGGAUCCCUAAUACCCGCAAUGACACCCUAUGACUCAUAGUGUGAGCCAUAGUAAUGAUAGUAAUCUCAAAGAUCAAGAAAUAUUUAGGGACCAACAACCCGGGAUCUUACAUUUUCCCCUCUUAGGAUCGUUCGUCCCUGAAUGGUGAGACAAGGUAUCCCUUAGCACGAUUUAACAUAGAAACACACCCACUCUUACCUUUAACAAAUAUAGAAAAUAAGGAUAUCAAGUAAUAGAGUUAGAAUACAAAGAUGUUAAGAAUAACAUAUACCUUACGAACAAUUAUUCAGAAGGGUGAACAACAAUGGAUAGUAGGACUUCAUAUCCUUUUUAUCUAUCCAAGUAGCCUCUUCAACCUUUUGGUUCCUCCAUAGAACCUUUACCAAAGACACAUUCUUUAUUCGCAAUUGGCAGAUUUGAAUCCAAUAUCUAAACUCUCCUUAUACAACAAGGAGUCUGAAAUACCAAUAUCUUUUGAUGGAGCCACCAGGGAAGGAUCACCCACACACUUCCUCAAUAUUGAAACAUGAAAGACCAGGUUAAUAGAACCCAAAUCAAAGAAAAUUCCAAUUCAUAAGACACAUUGACCACUCUCUUCAAAAUCAAAUAAGGUCCCACAUAACGUAGACUGAGCUUCCCCUUUCUUUCAAAACCACAUCACUCCCUUUAUGGGAGACACCUUCAGGAACA
rnacentral:lncRNA from 1 species